rnacentral:lncRNA from 1 species
UUGCAACCACUGCUCAUCACUAAGGAAAGACUUUUAUCAAUUCAAACCUCCUCAAGCAAUAGCCUUGCUUUUUCUUUUUUUCUUUUAUUAUGCUGUUAUAUUUUUCUGUUAAUUUUGUAUUUUUUUCGUUAAUAUAUAAUUAUUUGUACCAAUAUUUUAUCAAAGUUAAUUAAUUUAUUCAUUGACUAUUUUGUCUUUCUAUUUUACCAAAGUUAACUAAUUUAUCAUAUAUUUAAUAUAAAAAUAUAAAAAAUUUGAUAGAAAGAUAUAACAUUGUAGAAAGACGAAAAAUUAUAGGGACAACUAUGUAUUUUUAAAAAUGCAAAGGCAAAAUUAUGUAUUUUACAAAAUACAAGAAUAAAAUAGUUAAUUCCUUUUUUUUCAAAAUAAUUUUUCCUUAAUUUUAUUCUAUAAGAGAGUGAUUAAAUGAUAAUUAUGUUAUAAAUAAAUACAUAAUUUUAGAGAGUGAAAGCAAAGACUAAAAAUUCAAAGUUUAGUUCUCACUGGCAAUUGCCAACUGUAUUCCCUUGUAUUUUCUCUCUUUCUCUCUCUAUUACACUACACAACACAACACAACACAACACAACUUCGUCCCGCGAAUCUCGCUUUUUCUAAAUAAAAUUUAUCAAAAUCCAAUGAAUCAGCUUUUCUGUCCAGCUUUGGCCAUGUCACCACCCUUCUAGGAACGGUUAAACUUGAAACUUAAAGACACCUUGAAGAAGAAACAUUUGCAAUAUACUCACAAGAGAACGCUGAUAUUGCUCUACGUCAACGGCAAUCGCCGGUCCGGCCGACUAUUCACGUCGCUAUGGAAGCCUCUGGCGGAGGAGGAGCACCAGCUGACAUUGUCGCUCCGGCUGCAUUGCUACUAGAACUCGUCGGGGAGAUAAUCGGGAUGUUCGCCGGAAUUGGAAUCAUCGACCGUGAUCUAGUGUUUAGAAAGGAUUGUAUGGAUCUGGUACGGAGAAUUUCUUUGUUGACGCAUUUAUUGGAAGAGAUUAGAGAUUACAAAAGUGAAUCUGGUCCGUUGGAUGCGUCUAGUUCUUGUUCAUCAUCUUCUGGCAAUUGGUGCUCCGAUCUUUUUGGGGCUCUUCAGGCUGCUAAGCGUCUUCUAUCGGUUGCUGCCACUUUCAAAUCCAAUAAUAAUUCUGUAAGUGGAAACUUUUUUUUUUUUUUGUACAGCUUAAUGUGUCAUUUCUAUGGAUUUAGUUGGGUAUGAACUGUGAAAUUCUAAUUUGGUGUUAUAAAACUUAGCUUUAGUUGAAACUCUACAGUUUUUGCUCAACUUGAAUAGUACUCAGCUGGUAAUAAUUUGCAUGCGCAUUUCUGUAUAUAUUGUUAUGAUUAUUUGGAAUUUACUUGUGAAUCCCUUUUGAAUUACCAUCACGGAAUACUAGUAAAAAAAUGAAUCCUUUUUGAAUUUUGCUUGGAAAAUAUUACUUGAAAUUACAUUAAAAAUCAAUUGAAUGUAGAUUGGUUCUAUUAAUCUUUAGUUAUUGAGCCUUUAAACCUCUGAUCUUACGUUGAUGAGAUUCUAAAUUUAGUAUUUUCUUUGAACAAAAUUAUAGAAGCAAGGAAAUUUUGUAUAGUAUUUCUCAAUUCUAUGUUGUUAAGCAUCAUAUUGGAUCUGUUGAUGGGUAACCAUUGGGAGACGAACAUUUACUUCUUUAGAGCUGUUCCAACCUUGAAGCCCAUUAUUGCUGAAAUUUUGCUGUGUUCAUGCACAUUCUCUUAAAAAUAUAUAGGUACCUCUCUGAAUUUUGUAUGUAUAUUGACUUAAGGAUGGAGCUGCAAAGAAAAUUGCCUUCCAAUUUCAAUGUGUGACAUGGAAACUGGAAAAGGCAUUGGCUAGCAUACCGUACGAUCAGUUUGACAUCUCAGAGGAAGUACAAGAACAGGUAUGUGUUGAAAACAUAUGCGGAUCUAUGGUCUUGAUGGAGCUCAGCGUUAAUAUUUUAAUCUUUCACUAGGUUGCAUUGGUAAGAUCACAGUUGCAAAGAGCCUCAGAAAGAUAUGGGUCAAUGAAUUCAAGAGUAAUUUCUUUUACCUUAACUGCUGAUGCCAUGGACAAAGUAGUUGAUCAGGCUCAAAAGGGAAACAGGCUAACAAGGAGUGCACAUAUUGAGAAAACUUGUGAUUCCCAUCAUGAAGUUUUGGAAAAGCUAGACGCUGUUUCUGGAAGUGAUGGGUCAAAGAGCCAUGCUGCAGAUCAGGUCAUCAGUGAACCAAGUGAAGUUGAUCAAAGCAAGAAAAAUAAUUUGGCUUGCAAGAAUAUGGAAGACUUAAAGAAACCUGAUGCUCCCAUAAUUCCUGAUGACUUUUUAUGCCCUAUUUCUUUGGAAUUGAUGAGGGAUCCUGUAAUUGUGGCAACUGGACAGGUACACUUUGGAACCUCAAACCCCAUUUUAAUGUGUGCCUAUAUGUUUUAAAUAAAUUUUGCUUAAAUUUCAAAUCUCUUUCACUUUUAUUAUGUUUGCCUUCUGAUUAACCUCUUAUGGUUCUGUAGACUUAUGAGCGGUCUUAUAUUCAAAGAUGGAUAGACACUGGCAAUGUAACAUGUCCGAAAACGCAGCAAAAGCUUGAACACUUGACACUGACUCCAAAUUAUGUUUUGAGAAGUCUAAUAACUCAGUGGUGUGUGAAUCACAAUAUUGAGCAGCCAACUGGGUUAGCAAAUGGGAGAAUAAAAAAGAGCGAUGGAUCUUUUCGUGAUGUAAGUGGUGAUAUAGCAGCCAUCCAGGCACUUGUCCGCAAGCUCUCAAGCAGGUCUUUUGAUGAACGCAGAGCUGCUGUAUCUGAAAUCCGAUCCUUAUCUAAAAGAAGCACAGAUAACAGGAUACUAAUAGCAGAAGCAGGAGCUAUUCCUGUUCUAGUUAAUCUUUUAACUGCUGAAGAUGUAUCAGUACAAGAAAAUGCAGUUACCGCAAUUCUUAACCUCUCUAUAUAUGAAAAUAACAAGGGACUGAUAAUGCUUGCUGGUGCUAUUCCUUCAAUUGUCCAAGUUCUCAGAGCUGGGAGCAUUGAAGCAAAAGAGAAUGCAGCAGCAACACUUUUUAGCUUGUCACUUGGUGAUGAGAACAAAAUAAUAAUCGGUGCAUCGGGAGCGAUACCUGCUUUGGUAGAAUUGCUUGAAAAUGGGAGUCCUAGAGGGAAGAAAGAUGCUGCAACUGCCUUGUUCAAUCUGUGCAUUUAUCAAGGGAACAAGGGAAGGGCUGUAAGGGCUGGAAUUAUCCCAGCAUUGUUAAAGAUGAUCACAGAUUCAAGAAAUUGCAUGGCCAAUGAGGCGUUAACAAUUCUUUCUGUUCUAGCUAGCAACCAAGAUGCUAAGGUUGCCAUAGUAAAGGCUAGCACUAUACCUGUUCUCAUAGAUCUAUUGAGAACGAGCCAGCCACGCAACAAAGAGAAUGCAGCUGCCAUUUUGCUUUCCUUGUGCAAGAGAGAUCCUGAGAAUCUUACCUGCAUAAGUAGGCUCGGUGCCGUUAUACCAUUAAUGGAGCUAGCUAAAAGCGGCACUGAAAGGGCCAAGCGGAAGGCUACUUCGUUGUUGGAGCAUCUUCGAAAGCUACAGAACUCUAACAAUGGUAACUGAACCAAAAAGCUUGAUUUUUCAUUAAUUUUUUUGUUUCUUUUAUUCUAAUUAUUUGACAAUGAUUGCCACACCCACACCAUUCUAUUAUAUAGUGUGAUCCUGAGAACAUAAGCAUGAGAGACAAAGUCUUUCUCAUUGCUCUUUGUAUUUAUUUCCUUCUUCAUGCGUGUAAAAAUUACAAUUGAUAAUCUGUUUGUCAUGAUAAUAUUUGAUUAAUUAAAGAUUUCUUUUCUGUCUAAUAAAUGAAUGUAUUUCCUUUCAUAAUCCAGGAAACUUUACAUGGGUUUAUUACGCAUAGUUGAUAUUGUUUAAAGUGAAAAGUACUUGACUUUCAAAAGGAAACCAAAAAGUACCCAUAGUGGAGAAAAUAUUUAUUUUUUCAUUUUUUUUUUCUCCCUCUUAUGCUUGAAAAGGGCAAAACGUAAAAAAUAAACUAAAACAUGAGUGGAUACAAUUUAAAGAUACAAAAGAUUGUUAGUGGGUUAGUAACACACUAACAUAACGCAUUUUGGACCGCAAGUGAGUAAAAUCUCACACUAAAAGUGAAUGCAAUGAUUAUUUGUUUCAGCUUAAUGACACUUGUUGAAUUUCCAAUCAUUCAAUGAUAAGAAAUGAACUUGUUUCUCUAAAUUAAAUUAAUUCAUUAUUUAUUUAAAUUUACUAAUCAAAUUUUGUUUAAAUGAAAAAAUUUAUUUUUAGAAUUGAUUCAAUGAAUUAUGUACCAUAUUAGAUGAAAAAAAAUAAAAUUUUGCUACAUUAUAAAAUAACACUAUUUACUACUUUAUUUACUACUUGAUAUUCUUCUGCAAUCAGCUUUCGAUAUCUUUCUUAAUUAAACUCAGUAAGAUAAGUGAAUUCAAAUUCAUUAUUUAGCUUCCAGCCUAAACAAAUUACUCCUAAGCGAAGGAUCUACACAGAUAAACCUAUUGUAUUAGAAUUUUGAAUUGUUUGUAACAUUGGAGGUUAAUAGUUCAAAUUUCGAACUGAGUAAUUGAAUUUUAAGUCUUUUUUCCAUAUUGCCUACCAAACAUAAAAUAGAAAUUUUUACUCUCAUAAAGUCGCAAACAACUAAAGCUGACUUUUAGUAAAGCAGCCAUUAAGCACGUGAUUGACCAUAAAUAAAACUGUCAUUAAAAUACUAAUCAUCUAAUUUAGGUUUAGUAAAAUCUAACAUUAUUAAGUAAUCAUAAAAGGUACAAUUAAGGUACAAAAAAAAAUUAUUUUUUACUUUUAAGUUUCUAGAGAAUAAUAAACCUAAAAGUGAUAAUAUUGGUAUUGCAUGCCUCUGUCUUCUGCCUUAUCUAGACAGGCUGCAAAUUGCAAAAUGGCCAAACAAUUAUUUAUGGUAUAUCAACCAUGUCUGCAAAAUCAAAUCUCGUAUAUGGGAAACGUGGCCAAUAUAUAUUUCAAGAAAAAUAGGAUACCAUAUCAAGAAAAAAAAAAAAAAAAGUGAUGUGGAUAAACAUCAAGAUGUUGAUCGAGUCUUUUUCAAUUUUCUUAUGAUUUCACAUUUAUUGAGGACAAAAAAAUACAGGCAGGCUCCGACAAUGUUUGUUGAGACAGGGAUUCAAUAACUGUUGUCGAAUAGGAAAAGGUUAUAUGAUGCCUGCCCUUGUUUAUGAGCUCUCAAACUGUAGCACCAUCGUCUGCGUUUUCCAAAUAAUUUUUUCAUUUUGUCAUUUCUCCAUAGUCUUUGGAUUGUUCACACUUUGAAAUGUAAUUUAAUUUUUUUUUAAUUAACAAAAUGCAGCUAAUCAAUUUAUAAUUUGAUAUUAUAAAUCAAACUGCUCGUAUUUUCUUAAUUAAGUAACCUUUUCAAUUAGAUCAAAGCAAUAUCCAUAAUUAAUUAAUGCUCCCUUGUUUCUAGAAAUAACAUACCAAGAAAAUAUUUUAUUUUCCUAUUGAAAAUUGAAAAUUAAAAAUUAAGUCAGUUUAAAGAAAAUAAUAAUGAUGACUUCUGGUUCUUAAUUAUCAUUAUAAACACAAUUUUUAUAUUAAUUCAUUGAAGUAGUCAACUUAUUGGCGACAACUUAAUUUCACAAAUUUGUAUUUUUUUUUUUUCUGAAAAUAGGAGAAACAGUUUAAUUUUCAAGUCAAGUGAUGAUAAUAUUAAGUCCCAUAAAUGAAAAUAAAAAAUAGAAGAAAAUUACAAGAAUUAACAACUUCCAAGUUGAUGAGCGGACUAUCAAUUUAGACUUGGUUCUUGAUUUCACAUUUCCGCACAUGCUAAUAUUGAUGAAGACCGGUAUCAAUUAGUAAACACAAGAAUUAAAAAAUUAAUGUUAAAAGAAGAAAAAGUACAGAAUUAUCAAAAACAGUAAAAGGGACAUUAAUAAUUAAAAAAAGACUAGAAUUAAAGAAAGUUUUCGUCUACCAUGCAAGAAAGAACAAACUACUUUUCAAUUUUUCAUCUCAAAAUCAAUCAAAUACAAAUACGUGAUGAAAAGAGUCAAAUUUCACAUGUCUAUCCGUUGAAAACUCAAUCAAUAAGGAUUUUGAAUCCCCGCCGCCGUGAUUAUCGUUAAUUAAUUAUCUUUUUUUUUUAAUUAAUGAAGUACAUGUUUAUUCUCCACCCAUCACGGGGUUUUUGGAGCCCAUUAGUACACAUUUCCCACGUCCACACGUUGAAAAUGAUAUCAUAUAUAUGUAUUUUUGCACAUGUAUAGUUGUUGUAAUAGCUAAGUAAUUAACAGAAUUUUCUUUUUCUUUUUUGCACAACUCAUAUUUCUAGUGCACAUGAGCACGGUUUUGAAUCCGAAUUGCUAUUUGGCAAUUUCGGAAUUUCCAAUUUUGGUUCGUCCGGUUUCAAAUCAAAGUCGGACAAUUUUUUUUCCUUUUCUAAUAUUUUUUUUAAUUUAUUGGAGGUCUUUGUAGAUCGAGAUAAUUCAAAAUGGAACAAUUAUUUUCUUUUUCUAAUGCUUUUUCUAAAGUAGUCUUCCCUUUAACUCACCAAAUUGGUUAAUUAAUAAUCAAUAAUAAAAUAAUAACAACAACAAAUAGUAUUAUCGGAAAAACUAAAAGAGUUCAACAAAAAGUUUAAAAUUGAUUUUAAAAAAUAUAAUAAAAAAAAACAAAUUGAGAGUUUUUUUUUUUUUUUAUAGUCUUUGAUUUGACAAUUCUUAUUUGUGAUUUCAUACUCAUACGAUGCUAUUAAUUUCGAUUUUCGCCAAUUUAAUUUUAAUUCAAAAUCAAAACGUGAAGAUAUAAUUUGUAGUGUGAAUGGCUUUCUUUGUGUGGAAUGAAAGAAAUGAUAAAAAAAUAUUAAAAACUAACCCGUGAUAUAUAUAAAACAAGCACAAUCAAAUAUUAAAAAAAAAAAAAAAUCCAAAGUCUAGCUAAUUUUAUGCAGAAACCGAAAGCUUACGUGCUGUAUUCCGUUUGUCAAAUAUUCUAGCAAUUUUCAAAUAUUUGCCUUCUUUGUUGACUAAUGACUUUCAAAGGAAUCCAUGUCCUUAUCUCUCACCUUCCCUCCCGUACUCUUUAUAAUUAUAAGCCCUACCCAAAUUCACAACUUCAUACCACUGUAUCACCAACCUUCACAACUAUGGGAAACACUUUAGGAGGCAAAAAGACUGUCAAGAUCAUGAAGAUAACCGGUGAAACCUUCAAGCUAAAAACUCCGGUGAAAGCCGGUGAGGUUGUUAAAGAUUACCCAGGUCUUGUUUUGUUAGAAUCAGAAGCAGUUAAGCAUUAUGGGAUUAGAGCAAAACCUCUUCAACCAAAUCAGGAUUUGGUUCCAAAGAGGCUUUACUUUUUAGUAGAGUUGCCUAAGUCUCCAACAGAGAAAGUUGCAAGAAGGGUUCGGUCUGGACCGAUUAAUAUGAGCGCUAAAGAUAGGCUCGAAAGUCUAAUGUUGGCUCGAAGAUCGGCUUCUGAUCUUUCUAUAAUUAAGAAUACUUCUAGCAGUAGCUUUGUUUCUGAUGAAACAGAGAAAAAUGGGCAUGAAGAGAGUGCAGUUAGGGUAAAAAUGAGACUACCCAAAGCAGAAGUUGAAAAGUUGAUGAAAGAAAGCAAAAAUGAAGCAGAGGUAGCUGAAAAAAUCAUGAACCUUUAUGUGGGAAACAAAGAGAAAAAAUCUAAUGAUCAAACUAAGCUUUCGAAGACUUCUGUUAAUGGAAGAGUAACUAAUGAAGAAAGUGUUAAGGUAAGUUUUCUUUCCCUUUUUCUUAUUUGUUUUCUCUUUUGUUUGUUCUUCUUUGUUUUAAUUGACAAAUUUUGGAAUAGAUUAAUUAGUUCAUUAACUAAAGAAUUAAUUCUUAUUAUUAUCAAUUAGGGUUGACAACAUUGUCUCCUUAUUUCGUUUUGAUUUUUUUAUAUUAUUUUCCUAAGAGUUGAUAAAAUAACGGACAUUUACACACAGUAAGAGUCCAUUUGUUUUUUUUUUCCCGUAAUUUAUACAUUUUUACACCGCUCUUCAUUUUUUAUACUUGCUUAUUUCUUAUUUCUUAAAUAUAUACAUCUACAAGUCAAAAUAUAAUAUAAUAGUAAAUGCCUAUAAUACAUCUAAAGUCGAAUUCUGUUUGCCAAUGUUAAAAUAGAAAAAACAUAUCUAUUUCACUUGCAAAUUAAAGGAAAAUAAAAACAAAAAUUAAAUUUUCCUUCUUUCUCUUAAUACAAAUAUGUUAUUGUUUUCCUUUUCUUUUUUUUUUCUUUUUUGCUAAAAAUUGAAAUUUGAAAAAUGAAUAUUUGGUAGAAUUUAGUAGUCAAUGAUUCAAUUUGCAUAUGGUCUAAUGAAUAAAUGAUGGCAUGCUUAAAUGGAGAUGAAUUAUUCUCUUCCCUUCACGUGCAUGCUUACAAAAGUUUAUUGCAUAUAAAAUAUUAGUCCUCAUUUGGAGUGAUUAAUAGUUAAUUAGCCAGUUAAGAUACGAAUAUAUAUAUCUUAACAGCCUUCUGCCUGUCCUUAAUUACUUAAAGAUAUUAUUAAAUAUUUAAUGAAAUAAUAAAGCAACCUCCAACAUACAGUGAACUGACAUAUUCAAAUUCCAAAAUCCAAUUUUCUAUAAUUUUUAACCUUCUGGAAACUGGUGAAUCUUAACACGUGCAAGCAAUAAUUUUUAUAUCGAUCCUCGUAUUCCAUUUGACUCUUAAUUAAAUGUUAAUUACUAUGUUGAAAAAAUUAAUUAAAUGGUAAUUUAAUUAUAUAACAAUCACUAUUUUUUUUUUUUGUUAGCAGAAGCGAGUUAGUUUCUUGCCAGUCAAUGAAGGAGAAAUGCAAAUAGCUGUGGCUUCUUAUUAGCAAAAUGAAUAUUAAUACAAUAUAUGAUGAAUUACUCUCAAUAAAUUGUGAAGAAGAGUGAAGUAGUUGGAUCUCCAAGUUUUUGGAAUGCUCCAAAUUCCACUUGAGCGUCUAAAUCUGGAUCAAUACCAGCAAAGACAAGAUCAUAUAUAAAUUGCAUUCUCUCUACUUCAGCCUUCAGCCUUCAGCCUUCAGCCUUCAGAUUCUCAUGUACCAAGCUCUUAUUUUCUUGUAUAUACAAAACCAAAAAAAAUGGAGUUUUCAGAUUUUCGAGGAUUAUGAAUUUAAGAGCAUGCAGUGGUGAGAGAUGUAACCCUUUGACAUAUCUUUUCACAGUGACUCAUAGGAUGAUAAUUUUAACUUUUAUUACUUAUAAUUGUUUGUAUUUUUUUUUGGUUUUCACUCCACCAUGAAACUUUCUUUUUGUUAUAUAAUAGUUUAUAAUGUUUGGUGAACUGUAGUAGAAUACAAUGUGAUAUAAUUAAAAAUAUUUUAAAUAUUUUCUCAAAAAAAUCUAAACAUUACAUUAGAAAUGUUUUUAAUAUAUUAUAUUAUGUUUCACUGUGACUAAUCAAAUUUAGCAUAAUUUUCUUUUUAUCCUUAACAAAAUCCUUACUUAUAAUUAUUGAUGCUCUUAGCCUCUUAGUAUGUCAUAAAUUAAAAUUGUAUAAAACAAUAUAAUGGAUCCAUAAGCUUAGAUAUACAUUACAAGGAAUUUUUAAUUUACUUGAUUUAAGGAAAAAUUAUUAUUUUAUCCUUGUAUUUUGUCUAAAUAUAUGAUUUUAUCUCGAUACUUGGAAAAAUAUAUAAUUUUAUCCCUUUUUUUUUUCUCUGUCAAUAUUUUUAAAUGAAAUGAUCCAUUAUUUGUAUAGUAGCCUAAUUAAAGAAAGAAGGGGAAAAUGCUUAUUCUGCUAGCCGUUUCAUUCUAUAAAAUGGAUUGUGCCAAAUUCUCCUCUUGUAUCUGUAACAUAAAUAACAUUUUAAACAGAAUAUCAAAUAAAAAAUCCACUCUUAACUAACAAAUUGAAAGACUUUAUCAUAAAGUUUCCCUCAAUUUCCCUCCUUUUCUCAGUCUUUCAAUCUCUACCAUCAGCUUAGCCACUAAAGAUUUUUUUUUUUUUUUUUUCUAAAUUAGGGAAAACCUGACUUUGUUUUAUUUUUAUUUUUGUUUAACGAGUCAAAAAGAAAUGGACUUCAAGUAAAAUCAGACAACAUUUCCUUUUCUAAAGAUUGAAACUACAUUUCCUUUUCUAAAGAUUGAAACUUUUUACAUCCCCAAAUUGGAGUAUUAACAUUUUUUUUUUUUUGAAAUUUCUAAAAGGAAAGUGAAAGAAAUAAAUACCCUCCCUUUUCCUUCCCCUCCUAAACAUGAAAAAUUAGACAAGAAAAAGAAAAAGAAAAAACAGCAAAGGGGGUUCCUCCAUUUCCCCAUUUAGUAUUCAGGACCCUAUUUCUCACUAACAACUGUGUAGACGUUGCAAAAUAAUCACAUUAAAGAACCUUCAAUGGGGUGACUCUUGCACAUGUAUAAAAAUGAUGUACAAAGGCCUCAACAAGGAAUUGGGCUAACUUUGCCCAUACACAAGUUCUCACUUUCCUCCGCUUACAUCUCUAUUGCCUUAUUAACCAACAAAUGACUUUUCAAUGGAAAGAAUACAAUGAAUUUGUUCAUGAAGACCAUUGAUCAGGAACUGUGAGAAAAUAUGAAGUCAUUGCUUUUCUGAAUCUUUUCUUGUAUUGUUUCGGGGAAAUAAUCGUCGGGGAUGCAUUUUUCGGACCGCCAAGAAUUCCAGAUGCCUUAACCCAUGUCUCUAAAUGUUUAUCCCAUGUAUAUUGUCUCAUGAAAUCAAUGAUACCUAAAACAAGCUCCUUUCGCUCAUUGUCUACUCCAACCAGCAAAGAGUAGUCCAUAACAUCAACAGACUGUACAAAAGUAUAACAAAUAUGUGAACAACAAAUACCAAAAAAAUUAAAAAAAAAAAAAGAAAAAAAAGUGUGUUUUUGAUUCUCAUGUCUCUAAUAGUAAAUUUUAGAAACUUUGUUAUCUUACCGCCAAAAAUGAUGUAUCAUUCCAUAUUGCUCUCUCUAGGCUUCUCUUCGCUUUGCUUCCUAGAAAUAUGGGCUCUGUGCGUAGUGUUUCUACCAGGUUCAUAUCUAACAAUACUUUGUUUUGCCCGUUUGUAUCUGGAUUGUAGCGGGAUCGAGCAGAACCCUUAAGAUCAUAGACCCUUGCAAUACUUCUCUUAAAAAAGAGAUUUUCCAUCACCAUUAGAUCCAUUUUUGUUUCCUUCCCACCUUUCAAGUGCUUUACAGUAACCUGCCGUGGAAGAAUGUACAAGAACAAUGAGAAAAGUUUUACCUGAUACAUACCAAGUGUGAUUGCAAGUGCAGAAGAGCCUAACCUGAUAAAUACCAAGAACUUUGGCAAGGCAAGUCGGACUUCCUGAGCUAAGAGAAUCUGUCAGAUAUUUGAAGUAUUCUGAUGCAAAUUCCUCAAAAGAGUCUAACUCAGUCUUUUUGACUUGUUUUAUUAUGAAUCUCUCGUCCAAUGACUUGGCAAAAUAUACAUUGCUUUUCCCCCCUUGUGCACUCCAUCUCUGGCAGCGACUCAAGGACCGUAUAAAAUCAACUUCACUGGGGCAACAUUUCUUCCUCAGAGAAUCAAACUGCUUAGCAAAAUAACAAGUGACAGAAAACUUUACUUUGCCUCCAGCACUUGAAGAAUUAUCGCCAUAAGAUAUUGUCAAAUGUGGAGAUCUUCUGGAAUCCAUAGAUAGUGUACCAAUGGAUGAUGAAGGAUCUUCAGAUCCAUAACUUCCAUAACGGAUAUAAUCCAAGUCUAGAGAACCAAAAGACUGCCACGCCGAAAAUGUGGAAGUUGCAGAAUCAUCCUUGCAGUGCUCAUUCACACCCCAGUCUCCUUCAUUCUCAUUUGACUUGUCAGCAACCCAAUCUUCAUAUUUCUUGGAACUGAGGGCAUAUGAAACUAUACUGGCAGGAUCAUCAUCAUACACACCAACUACAAUAUCAUUGUGGCUCCGUUGAGGAAGCAACAAACGAGCUCCUCCAGUCAUAUGAUACAAAGAAGAGGUAAAUGAGGGUGCAUAGCUUGGCAAUAAAUUCAAUUUCUGAGCCUCCAAUGGCAAUAUUUGAGAAUAAGUCCUCAUCGUAUUUGAAGUAGGAUCUCUAACCAUACUCCUGUAAUCUCCAGAUGCAUGGAAUGAUUUGAGAGUCGACAAGUACAAUGAAGAAGGAGGCAAUCCUUUCCGGAUUCUUUCUUGGAUUCUCAAUGCAGAGUCGAAAGAGUGAACUCUUACUGGUGCUACCAUCCUUUUAAGUGGAGGAUUAUCACAAAUACUUAUCUGCUUAAUAGUCCCAACUUGGAGUGCAUCCGUCUGAGAUGCAUGGUGAGAUUGAAUUUUUGCCACAAGUUGAUCAGUACCCGUCCAUGCAGAAUCAAUUCUGUCAGAUAGAUUGGAAGCUUUAGAAGGGAUGUCAUCAAAGCGUGUAUUAUCUACUGUAAUUUCCCCAUCAGGAUGCCCUUCCUCCUCUCUAUUAUGAUGAUAUAAAGACAACACAGAAUCUUCAGUAACAAAAUGUUGAAGGGACAAACUAUGCUUAUGCUGCUCUGAAAGCAGGUCAUUCCCAACAUAGUCUUGUGGUUUUGAAUAGCCAGGGAAAUUUUCUACUUGAUCAUCGUCAAGCUUGCAAUCCUUGCAAGAUGAUUGGCUUGAUUCUUUCAGCUGUGCAUUAUAUGCAUCCCUGUGUACAGCCUUAACAGAAUUUGUUUUUAAGAGAGAAUCCAAUGAAUAAAGCUGACGAUCCCAAGCAUGCGAAUUUAUUAGAAGAGCCUGUCUCAAGUGAUUAAGUUCCAGAAUGUCUAAAGUUGACUGACUCAGAUUUGAAUUCUCCAUAACAGCCCCAUGUAGCACACCCUAUUUGCAGAGGAUCUCAUUAGAAUAUUCAUCAAUAAAAGAUAAAAAAAUACAAGGGCAGCUUUGCGCUGCAGGCAAUUUAAAAUUGCCUUACAAGAUUUUACACGCUAGAAAUUUUUUAUGACAAUGAUUCAUACAUUCGAGAAGUUUUUUCGUGUCCACUUACUAUGUAAUUAUCUCUUUCCUUUCUAACUUGAUCUUUUAGCUCCAUAAUGUGAUUCUGUAACUCGUUCAUAUCUGAUAGCUCACUUCCAAAAGACUUGCUUCUCUGUUCCAUGCUAUCAACUACAUCAGAUAUCUCUGCAUAGAAGGCUUCCACGUUGCCCAAAAGCUGCAUAAGAAGACAAGCUCUUAAAAACAAUGACAGUAAACGAGAAAACAUGCACAAAUUAAUUCCACAGCAUGUAUCUGACAAAUGAAAUCAUGCAACAACCAAUCUCAGAUUCUAAAAAGCACCUCAGCUGCCUCUUUUGUUAUCCACUCUUGCUGAACAUGGCCAUUGAAUUCAAGCACUGAUGGCGGCAAAUGAACAUUAAGAAUAUCAAUGGGGGAAUAGCGGAAGAAUGCAACCAUGUUGCCAAACCUGUCAGAUGAGACUUCCAUUGAUUACCAAAAUUAAACUCCAUAGUUAGAAAGUCAUUUAAUUCUAAAACUAAUGGAAAUUACCCAUAGAAACGAAGGCAGUCCCUCUGCAAUGAAUGACCACAGGGAGCCACACGAUUAGCAGUUGCAUGGUUGGAAAAGCUCAGCUCCAAAAACUUUCCAAAAGAAAGUCCCCAAGCUGCAUCUGACAUAACCACUCUACGGGUUGCUGGUGGGACUCCAUCUAUAUGAGCACAACGAAGGCACCGAUGCCACAUCCAUAUCUUCCCAUCUCUUUCCCCAGAUAACUUUACAGAGGAAAGGGAUCUAACAUUGAUCGUAAGAUUUCCCUGCUGGUGAGAGUAACACAGUACAUGUGCUUCUGCCGGCUCCUUACAAGACCUACAGCAAGAUGCCUGGUAACAAAAAAAUUCCUAUUUAAUAUUUAAGAUUCAAAUGCAUAGCAGGGAAACACUUAAGCAGAAAGAAGACAUCCAUAAUGAAUCACCUGAUCAAACAGGUCAUCACGUAGAUAUCUUCCAAGUGGCUUGUCAAAAGAUCCAUAGAAUUUUAUGCGCAGGAGUCGAGAGCGUUCACAUACAGUUCCUUUUGCUACACAGCGGCUUGAAAAAGAGACUAAUAUGCUCUGGUUAGUGUCCGUGGAUGAGAAGUAUUCACUAGAAACUUUAUCUCCAUUUAUCCUCUCAGAUUUUGUUAAUUCAUGAGUCUCCCCGAGUUGCCUUUCCGCUUGCCCAAUGGCAUCUUGCAAGUCUGGCAGUGAAAGGUGUUUAACACCAGAGAGAGACACCAUAGGCAUCUUCUGAUCCUCAAAUUGGCUUAGAGCAAACGAGUCCAAUCUCACACAAGACACUAAAUCAUUGCAGCAAGCAUCGGAGAGUGGACUCGCAUACCUAUGAUCCGUGGAACCAGGAAAAAAAGGAGGAACAGUGCAAGUAUGUAUGUUUACUAAUGUUUCUGAUCCUACAUGCUCUGGUUUGUGAUCCACAGGUCCCUCAUCUCGGGCAGAGGCAUCAGCUAUGGCAAGGCAACCCAUUGAUGGGAUAAGCGAAAUGGCAUUAUCAGUUGCAGUCUUCUCUGGUAUGGCAAUCGAAUGUUUAAGCGUCAUCUUAGGAAGGCUGGCACCCUCAUCAGCUAGGAAGGAAGUCUCAAGGGAGAGAUGAUAGGCUGCAAAUACUGCAUAUUGAAUCACAUGCUUAACCUUCUUUAGUUCUUCACGACAUGUGCCCCUCAGCAAGACCUACAAAUAGAUGACCAAGACUUGAUCAGAGAUAGAACGAAGUUCUGAAACUUUUCCACUCACAAAUUCAUAGAGCAGAGAUGCAAUAUCAAAAAGAUAACUGUUGACACAAAAUGUACUCAAUAUGAUGGAUAAUACAGACCCCAUGAAAAUGGAUGCUUUAUUACACAGUUCAGGAGUCAACAGAAACAAAUCCAAAUAAGCCAUACUCCAUCUCUGAACAUCAAAAACACAUUCAUACCAUGAUAAGAACAUAAAUAGAAAAGCCACGCCUAUAUGUUUUAAAAUAUUGUCCCCUCUAAAUUCAUGUUGAGUGAGAAUCCAUAAUAAUUUGGCAUAUUAUCCACUACCGUGCAUCCUAGACGUCGUGGACAUCCUUCAAAAAACAUCAAUGUUUUAGAUGGCUUUUUGUUGAACUGAUUAGCAGUCUCGUGUUCUUCAGACACUCUCUCUACUCGGAACAGUUCACAGUGCCCCAAUCGCGUUGUAGAAAUGCUGUAAAUGGAUGGACUAAUAAAAGCGCCUGUGCACCGAGCUAUCCUCUCCAGUAAAGGCCUUUUCACAUUGGGCACCAAAGAAAUUUCCUUUGCCAAUAAAAUAUCUUGGGCAUAUGGAGAUACACUCUUCUCUACUAGCAGAACAUUUGGGCGAAAAGCCUCUAUCUUUGAGAUAAUCAUAUUGAGAUGAUUAUUUUCCUGAGCAAAAGACAAAAGUUCAGAGUAUCAUUUCAACUACUCUUUCUAUCUACCCAAGAAUGGACAAAACAGCACAUUAAUGAAGUUACCUGUUGCACCAAUGUAUUAAAAGAAGCCAACUGAUUCUCAACACUCUGAUAUUCAAGUGCUCCUCUUAAGAGAAGUAAUCUGGGAUUUUUGUAUUGUGUAGUCAUGCGCUUAUGCUUUAUAUUUUUUGUACAAACUACCCCCUUCACAAGGAUGCUGCAAGUGAAAAACAAAUUCAUACAACUUAAAGAUUCAUGGCAUAAAAAUGUUAAAGGAAAAAAAAAUUGGAGUACAAGGAAAUAGCAUCUCGAAAAGGUUAUAGAAAUUAUACCUAUCACUUGGACUUCCUGAUGCUAUACAUUUAACCUUUACAUAAUCAACAGGAUCCAUACUGCCUCCUCUGCUAGUAUCUGGUUUCACAAACUUUGCAGCUUGCCAUGCUAUUGUUGUAACUAUGUCAAGCCAGUCCUCACCACCAUCCUCUUUCCUGACUUUGAUACCCUCCCCUUGUAAAAGCUGGGAUACAAGAGCCCUAAAAUGCCCCUGUAUCACAGCUCUGAGAGGCUCCUUGUUGCCCUCAUUGUGUUUCUCCUUUGCUGGCAACAUGCUAAAGAGGCUACUAGUGGAUGAGAACAAUGCACCAGAAUCCCCAAUAUCAUCAUCAUCAUCAUCGUAUGCAAAGAAAUUACUAUCUGCCUCAUCAUUUUCAUCCUCUGGAUGUGGGGGGAACCAGAUACUACCGUUGCUUUCAAAAUCCAAUGGCUUUUGAGACUUGUCAAAUUGGUUAUGCAACAGUGACACAUCAUCGGAGUAAUCAUCAGUAUUUUCCGGAUCCUCAGUCUCUUUGUCAAGCCUUCCUAAAAUAGCCACAUUUUCUUGAUCAAAGGGACCAUCAGUUUGAGACAAUGGACUUCCUUCUUGUUCACGCUGUACAGAAUGACCAACUCUAUAGGAAGCAAAAUUAAUCCUAGAAGGGCUGUCUAAAGGACUUGAUCCCACUGACUUACAACCGUAGAACUCAAGUCUAGCACUAAUACUACUUGAAUCUAUAUCUGAAACAUCAUGACAGUAUUCACUUGAUGGGCUGUAAAAGUGCUUCCCAGAAUCAUCUGCCUCAUCUUCAUCACUCCUAAAUUAGUACAUAUACACACAAAAGGCAUGAACAGACGAUCAAAAAGGAAAACAAAAUAUAAAAGCAAAACAUGCGAAAAUUCUAGUGUACCAUAUAGGACAGUGAGAAUCAUAUAUGAAAAGCUGCAUCAAUGAUUAAGCUCUAAGUGCAAAAGAGGCGCAAGUUGUCUGGGCUCCUACCUUAAUAAAUAAUAUAACCCACAAUAAUAAAAAUAAAUAAAACUUUACCUGCUUGGAGAGUGGUGAAUAGACACGGGGGAUGCGUGAGCACUAAAUGAGACCAUACUCCCGGUUACUGCAAGGGAUGAAUACCCACAAUCCCGGGAUUCAAGAUAGUGGGCAAGACGAUCAGUCUGGAGUGAUUCACCACUAAAAGAAGGGGACGGAGGCUCAGGGCUCUCCCUGGGAGACUCCGACGGAUGCACUUUUUCACUAUUCUUCCUCCCGCCUUCAUUUUUCACACGAAAACCAAUACAGAACUUGCAGGAUUUGAUACCCUCCCUGUAUUUACUUUUCACAUCAUCGGAUUCAAUAACCACAGCAGGAGAUUCAUAGCCCCUAGCACAAUUGACACAUGACCACCUACCACAACUUUGGCAGCGGUAUCCAUUGAAAGGCCUAGUGAAACCUGUAUUACACUCGCAACACAUUUUGAUACUAUUAUUCGGCAUAUCAAAUUCACCAGACAAAGAAGAUGGUGAUAGAUCGCUGACCCCCCGAGAAAUCCAAGACUUAACCUUGUGUAAUAGAUCUGUUAGUGAAGUAUCAGGUAUGCCCAUAGAAUGCAAAAACACCCAACAAGAAUUACAACCCAGUUUAAGCCCCAACUUUUACUGUUCUUCUUCUUCUCUGUAAAUUUAUUAUGAUAUAUAUAUGUAAAAGAAAAGCACCAAAAUCCAAUAACAACAGUUUUGGUAGAAUAUAAUGGUAUAAUGAAGGGAUGAAAGAUUGGUAUAAUGAGAACCCAGAAUAAAAUUGGUGGGUGAUCUAGGAUUAAAUGUUUUUCCUUUUUUUUCUGUCUUUGUUUUUUGUGGGUUUAGUAUAAUUGAUGAGAUUUACUGUAAGAAAGGGAAACAAAAUCCUCCAAGAAUCACAAAAUAUAUCCAAGGAGGAAAACCCCACUACUAAAUAGAUUCAAAUCUAACACUAUUUACACCAAAAUCUCUAUCAAUAGAAGUAACAAGAUUUCCGAGCAGCAGUAACAACAACAGCAGCAGAAUUAUAAAACAUUAAAACUCAAAACCCUCUAAAAUUUAACCGAUCCCGGAUUCAUCAAGAAUGCAUCCGCAAAUCGAUUCAAGCAUAUCACAGAGCAAGAAAUGGAAGAGAAACGAAAAAUUGAGAAAAAAAGUGAAUAAAAGAAGUAAAGAAAAGACUGUGACGAGAAAAUUAAAUACGGGGUAAAAUGAGGAUCAAAAGAAGGAAAAGGAGGAGUACGGAGAAGGUUCCUUUUCUUCGGGAGUUUGCACGCAUCUCUAUAUCUCUUCUCUUCUUCUUCUGCACUUCUUCUUCUACUCCUAUUACUAUUCCCACCACCAUCUUUCCCGGUUUCUCUACUUUCAUUUCUAUUCCUAUCUCUCUCUACUUGCCCUUUUAUUUUCUUUUUUACUAUAUUUUUUUUCCCUCACAUUAAAGCAAAGCAAGCACAGACUCCCUCUCUCUCAUCUCUUUUCCAUAUUAUAUACUUAAUGAUUCUGUAUUUUCUCUUUCUCAUACAUCUUUUCAUUUGGAUUAGGGUUUUUAGAUUCUCUCUCUUCUUCUCAUUGGCUGCUUUUUAUUAAUUAUGUUUUCAAAUUUAAUUAAAAUAUUCUGUUAGUUGUGUAAGCAUCCUUUGUUCAUUGGUCAGCCAUCUCUCUCUGUAAUAAAUACAGAGUUUUUUCUUUUCUUUUCUUUUUCGGAUUAGGGAAUUAGUGUUAUAUUAAAUGGCACGCUCAGUCAGCUGCCUGUAUUUUUUAAGUACAUGGAUUUUGUAUUUUACUGUAUAGUGUUUACAAUAAAUUAAUAGGAUUACAAGACAUAAAUUACUCUCUCACUUCCAUUCAAUUUCACGAUUUUUUACAUUAAACUAAAUAUUUUUUUUUUAAAUUGAGGUGAUUUGUUAUUUUCUUAAUUUUUAUAAAUAAUUAAAAUGUCAAGAUUAACAGCAUGGUUAGAAUAGUUUGUAACAUACUAAAAUAUUGAGUCAAUGCUCAAUUUAUUUAUAAUUUAAUAUGAAUUUUUCAUAACGCUCAAAUUGAAAAUGGUUAUUUAAAUAGAGUGUUAAAAGUGAUUAUUAAGGUAAAGUUUCUCUAAGAGUGAAAAUUUUAAUUUUUUAUCGUUUAAAUUUUAUACACGAAUUUCUAAUUUUGUACUUUUAAAUCUCAACUUCAUUGAUAAAAUUCACACCGAAAUAAAAUCUUUUCUCCUUAAUCCAAUAGCUUAUUAUUAAAUAAUGAAAGAAAUUUAAAACUGAUAAAUCAAUUGAAUAAAAAAUUGAGUUCAACAACCGGGUAGAGUCAAAUUAAAUUUAAAUAUUAAAAAAAUUGGCCCCACUCAACUAAAUACUAUCCUUAAUUACCCAUCAGGAUUUUGGCAAAUUUUCUCGCCAGCUUAAUUAUUACCAUUAACAACUAACGACCUCUUUUUGAUGAGCGUGUAUUCACGCUCUGUUCACAACGUCUAGAAAGAAAACUCUGAAUAUACGACUUGGGCGGUCUGAUUUACGGAUCAAUCUACGCCCGGGUUUUGAAUCAAAUCCGUAUUACUCAUAGACCUUUCUUCGGGUUUUUUUUCUCAGUUUUGACUAAUCCAUUUCUUAAUUUUCAAGCCAUUUAUAGUUUUCUUUUCUUUUUCUUUUUAAUUUUAAAAAAUGAGAAACAUUUUUCCUGAGAUUUGCUCGUUGCGAGGGAAAAAAACUGUAAUAUUAAAAAAUAUUAUCUAUAAAGAGUUACUCUAGUAAAUCAUACUUUUUUCAAAUAAAAAACAAAUAGUAAAUCAUACAUGAAUUCAAUCUAGGCCUCUAUAAUUUCAAAAUUUUAAUCCGUAAAGAAAUAUUUACGGGAAGGUACUCUAAAAAGAGUGUGGGAUACUCAUAAAAAAAUAUAUCGAUAGACCACAUUUAAAACUAAGGCUAUAAUUAUAAUUUAACAAAAAAUAAAAUCAUAAGUUACCAAAAUUUCAUUGACCGUUAUAGUCAAAAGACCAAGCGUUACAAGUCAAAAGAAUAUAUUCUUAGUAAUGUUUAGUUGGUAAUGGAUAUCUAUGUUAACCGCUUAGUAAUCAAUAUCUGUGUUCCUCGCUCAGAUGUUAACUCGCCUAAAAACUAUAUUCUUAGCUAUAAAAAAUCUUGCUUUUUCUAUAUACACGCUUGAUGUAUUCUAUUUAGUAUUAUCUCUGUUUCAUAAUACUUGUUGUAUUUGAAAAUUUAAGUCCCUUAAAAAAUCAUUAAAUUUAUCUAGAUUACAAUAAAUUAUUGAAUAAUUAACUAUAUUAUCCUUAAUUUUAUAUAUAUUUAAACAUUAAAUUAAAUUUUAAAUUCUUCAAUUCUCAUAAUAUGUUCGAUCGUAAUGAUAGAGAGAUUUUAGAACACAAAGAGGUAGCGGUAAAUAAAGAGAGAAAAUUUUUUUGUUAAAUUGAAAUAAUAAUUAUUGGUCAUAUAUAAAAUGUAAUUAUGAAAAAAAAAAUAUUACUCAUUCAAACGGCAAAUGUGAUAAAUUUAUUCUGACAAACUAUUUUAUCAAAUGUAAUAAAUAUUAUGAAAGGAGAUAGUAUCAUUUUUCUUAUUCAUUGUUUAUUUUAUUUUUUUAUAACUAUCUAGCACCUAGCACCAUUUUUCUUAUUCCCUGUUUAAUUUCUAUAGCUUUGAGGUAUUUUACUAUUAUUGUUAUUAUUUUGAGAUAUAAUGUAACGAUAUAUGUGUAUAAAACCCAAUAUAAGUUUGGAUUUAACUUUUUUUCUCCAAAUUGAAAAAUGAGAAACAAAAAGAAAAGUUUUUUUUUUUUAAUUAUUUUUUGAGGAAAAGAAAAAGUCGGUUGAGGGAUAAAAGUACAAGAAAGGCGGUUUGGUAGCAUUGGUUAGGAAUUUAGUUUGGUGAGGUGAGAAGACAACAUCUGCAAAGGUGAGUGUGCUGCCAAUGAAGAAUGGCCGAAAGUGGGGGCUUUUUCUGCAAUUUUUUUCUGUUCUUAAUACUUUUUCCUCUUGACGUUUUGUUGGCCAAGAUAGACAAAUUACAUUAUUUUUAAACAUAUAAUUUUGGGUUGUCACCAAAUUAGAAACUUAUGCUCAAAAAUAAACAAAUUAGAAUUCUUUCUGAUGUAGGAUUAACGGAAAAAAAAAAAAAUUACAUCAUUGAUGCCAUAGUGUAUAGUGUCACAAAUGGGAUAAAAGAGGCGUAGGGUGAGCCGCCCUCUAUAGACAAAUUUCCAUCAUCCAUAAUCAUUCAUGACUCAUCUCCAUGUGAGGAUGUGCUAUUUUGUUGAAUUACUUUUUUGGAUGGUUUUUUAUGGAGAAAUUAUAUAUAUAUAUAUAUAUAUAUAUAUAUUUUCUCUAAUAUAAAUAUAUGUAUAUGUAUUUCCAUUUAUAUAUGUAUUUCCACAACAAUAAAAUAAAAAUUAAAAAGAUACCCAUUUGCACUUUUUUAUAAAAUUUGGUUGAGAAAACCCAAUAUGUCCCUUGAGUAUCUUAGUAAUGCCUCUGUUCAAAUAUGUCAUUUCACUAACGCUAGAAAAUUUGCACAUUUAGGACAUGUAUAAUAGGGCCCAAUUGAGUUCCUAAGUGCGAAAUUGUUUAAACGUGAUGUUAGAUGUCAUCAUCCAUUCGUGGAUCAAAAUUAUAAUUACCCAUUGACCCAAAUUAAUUAAUUACUAAAAAUCCUAAUUGGUUGUUUCGAGAAAUCUCUCAAUUGGCAUCAAUUUUAGAAAUUGAAGAAAAUGUUUGUUGUGCUCUCAAUUUAAUGAUUCCAUUAUAAGAAAAUUAGAGGUUUUUUGCAUGCAUUGGUUGGACUUGUAUAUAUAUAUAUAUAUAUUAUCCUUAAUAAUGAUGGGACAGGGCAUAAUUAAUUUCUCCACUUAGCUUCAAUAUCUAAUCAUCUUCUUGAUUUUUCACUAAUCAGUUGGUAAAUAUCUCUAUCAAGGUGAUUAAUUUUGCCAAAGCAAAAUGUUCUUUGAUAAGGCUCUUAUGUUUUGUAGGUUUCAUUGAUUAUUUUUCUUUUUUUUUUGGCCUUGCUUGCUAAUGACACAUCAAAAGGUUGUCAUGAGAGGCAGGAAUGUCAGCUUAUGGACUUAAUAAUUACCAUUAAGUUAAAAAGACAUUUAUUAAGGUUUGAUUAGUACCACUAGCUUUUGUAGACAAAUUCAAUUCGGUUCUUUUCUUUUAACCUACCAGGCAUCAUAAAGAAUUUUUAAAAUAUUAAAAAUUCAUUUGAGGAAAUAAAAAAUAAUAAUUUUAAAAAUACUAAUUACUUUUCCAUUAUUGCCUCUUCAAUUUUAUUUCGUAAAAAUAUUAUUAUUGGCUGAUAGAUUUGUUUUAUUUAUUGAGUAGUUUAUUGGUUUUAUUAUAAAAAUAAAUUUUGCCAAAAAAAAAAAAACUUUUAAUAAUUUUUAGAAGUAAAAGUGUGGAAUCAAAUGAAUCUUUGACACUUUGUUUUCUUAUCUUUACAGAAUCCUUUUAUUAAUAACUUCUUCCUUAAACUUUUCUUGACUUGUCCUAAAAGAAAAAUAAAUUAAACUCGAGGGUUUGUCAGUUGAAAGUAGCCAGCCACCUUUGAAACCCACAUUGGCUUUGCACUAUUUUGCUCAAAAUGUCAUUUUUAUACUGCAGUAUCUCUUUUAUUUUUCUAUACAACGUAUGCAUAUUAUUAUAAAGUAUAAACAAAUCUGUCCAAUCCAUUUUAAAUAUGAUUAAAGUAAUUAUAUAAGGAUUAAGAAAAUCAUUAAUACUUAAUUAGAAAUAUCAAGAAAUAAUUAAUGUCCUAACAAGAAACUAGCUGAAUUGAGGAUGUAAAUUGUAAGAAUAUCCCAAAGGGUUAGUCUAAUGGAAAUCACGCUGGAUAAACUUUUGGUAAUUUUAGGUUCAAUUUUUGGGAGCGUACAAGCAGUUAAUUAACCUCUGCUUAGGCUUAAUGUCAAUGCUCAUGAAUCAUAACCUCAUGUGUAUUGAAAAUUUAUAUGAAUUCGAGGUAAUGAGUAAGAAUUAUAUCUGUCCGCUGGUCAAUUCUAAAGAUUGAACACCAUCCCCGUAAAAAAAAAAAAAAAAAAGCUAAGGAUUAAGGAAGGCAAAGUAAUUAAUGUCCUAACAAGAAACUUUUAAAGCAAGGGAAGGGCGUUGAGAUCAAUUAAAGCUCCAACUUUCCCAUUUCUCAUAAUUUAAUUUGUCCAUACCAAAAACUUCAAUUAGAAUGAUGAAAAUUGAAAAUAAAAGAAAAAAAAGUUGCUUUCAACAUAAAUACUCUGCACGUCCAAAGCUGAUAUUGACUCUCUAAUGCCUUAGAUUGAGAUGCACUGUCCAUGUCUGUUAUCUUUGUUUAGUUUACGCCAUCCAAUAGCCUAUCCCCUAUUUAAUGACAUAAUAAAAUAUAUAUACGGGUUUUCUUUUCUUUUUUUUUUUUUUUAAAUGUUCAAGCUGGAUAGUAUUAGGGUAACAGUAGUGAUUCAAAAUUUCUGAGUUUUUAUAUUGCAGGAAAUUUCAUUGGAUAUAUAGUCUAUUUUCACUUAUUUAACUUCUUUUUUUUUUAAUUUAAAAAUAUAAAUCGUUUAAAAUUUUGAUAUGAAGAUAAAGAAAGUAAUUGAUUUUUUUAAAUUAUAACAAAAAUCAACGGUAAUUAGAUUAAAUUAUUAUUUAUCUUAAAAUAAAAAAUAAUAUAUGAAAAAUAUAAUAAAUAAAUGUAAAAUGAUAAAAGAUCUUUCAUUACUUUUUAAAAUAUUCAAAAUGUCUUAAAUUUUGGAAUGAAGAGGGUAAUUAUUAGUGUACAUAUACAAUAGGUAUUCAAUAGUAAAAUAAUAUUACAUGAUUAAUUUUUGUGAAUUAUACUAAAUUCAUCUAUUUGGUCCCAAAAUAAUUGCAUAUUUAAAGUUUUAUUUUAAGGGUAAGAUUUCAGGAAUAUGUGAAAUUAUUAAUUAUUUUAUUUAAACUAUAGAAUAAUUAUUCAAUAUACACAUUCUUAUCCAAUUUCUAUAUCAUUAUCAUGCCAUUUAUGUUGAUAGUUGCAACUAUUUUCGUUUUUCAUUUUUGACUUUUAAAAUUUUCUUUCUUUUUCAUAAUAAAUAUAUAUAGUUUUCUUUUUUCUAUUUAGUAAAAAUUGAAUGAAUUAAAAUAAUAUUAUAAAUUAUAAAACAAAAGUAAUAUUUUCUUUUUACCAAUCCUCGACAAAUUAGUAAUAACUAUUGUAAUUAAACCCUCACUUCUCACUUUAGAAUAAACAAAAAUAUUAAUAUUUUUUAAUAUUUAGUGGUGGAGAAAAAAUAGAUUAAGAUAAAAUUUAAGUAUAUAUUAAUUUUGCAAUGGCAUCAUUGAAUAAUGACUAAAUAAGAAGCUAUGACUAUGAUGUUUUUCUUUAAAAAAAAAUUAUUAAGGAAUUAAUUUUAGAAAUUGCCCUUUUUCGUAGGGCGGUGGACUUUUGGAAGAUGACAUGACAUUUAAAUUUGGCAUAGAUGAUGCAACCCUAUCUGUGUUUCCUUGUCAAAAGAGUCCUAAUGGCUAAUCACUAAUCCUAAUGGAUUUGGAUUUAGGGAAUGGAAAGUCAGAAUAUUUAAUCUUUGCUAAAUCUAAAAUUUUGAAAUUUUAAGAGAACCGCACCGGCUUCUCUAUGUUCAGUGGUGGAUAAUUUAGCAUGAUUUCUCGAAUUUAAUAUUAUAUUUACUUAGUUAUUUUUAUAUAUCCUGCAAUUCUUAAACUAAUAAAAAAUGCAUAUUGAUUGUUUAAAAAUACGGAAAGAUAUGAAUAUUUUAGAGAUAUAUGAAUUAUAUAAUAAAUAACCAGACAAGCUGACAUAUCAUUUAAGAUGGUAUUAAUUGAAAUUAAAUAAAAAUAUUCUUCAAAAUCGCUCAGAAUAGUCUGCGUGUUUUUGUUUAGUAAAUAAAAAAUAAAAAUAAUUAAUACUAAUAAACUUUGAGCAGAACAUAAUGGAAAAUAAAUAAAAAAAUAAGCCAAAUUCUAUCCGUUAGAUUUAGAAAUAAGUUGACCAAAAGGAAAAAUUUUCAAUGUUGGCUGCCUGCAAUUUAAAAUGUAAUUUGGCACGAAGAAACGUAAAGCAAUUUAGGCUAUAAGGCUAUAAAUAUAAGUUUGGUCCUCUGUCCUUUCAAUUUCCAUGCCCCCUAUAGUGUCCCAAAUUGUGAUUCUUUUAGUAGUUUUUGAGAAUCUUUUUUAAUUAUUGUAGGAAAAAGUUCACACAUUUUCCAUGAAAUAUUACAUUAAAAUAUCAGUUGGUAUAUAUCAAGUUAAAAAAAUCCCACCAACUCCCUUUUACCGAGAUUAAUCCAUGAUGAUAAAAAUCAAUUAAGUUACGAUCUGGUAAAAUAAAUAUACUCCUUCAAUAAAAAUAUGAGUCAAACUGCUCGUAAAUUAUUGACUUCAAUAAAAAAAUGAGUCAAACUGCUCGUAAAUUAUUGAAAGUAUAAUUUAAAAAUUAUUCGUUCGAUAAAUUUAAUAAACUAAUUUUUUACUUGAUUUAUAAGCUCGUUUCAUAAAUAAAUUGACCUCAAGUUUGAGUUUAAGAGCAAUUUGAAAUUUUAAUCAAGAAUAAAUUAAUUAAAGAUAAUUUUUUUUUUUUUUUUUUUUUGGGUCUAAAAAAAGGAAUGGCAGCGGAAGUGGUGGUAAUAGCUGAAGGAGGAAGAGGAGAGUGAGAGAAUUGAGGACAUGAUGUGAUUUUUUGGGUUCAUUUAGGAGGUUAAUGUGUGGGUGAUGUGGCUUACCAUGCCACAUCACCUGCCAACAAUGUAAAAAUGAAAUCCGCUUUAACACAUUCAGCUUUUCAGUCCCACAUCAACAUAAAUUUUUAAUAAGUUUAAACAUUAAAAAUAACAUCCUUCCUCAGAAAACAAGGAUUGAUUUCUAACUCCGAUCUAAAGUCUAUAUAAACCAAAUCAAUAAAAAAUAAUUUUUUUAUUAAAAUAAAAAUAUUUUGAACUAUACACCGAGAAAAAAAAUAUCUAUAAAUAAAUUUUAAAAAAUUUAUAUUUUCAUUAAUUUUAUACAUUGACGUAUCCCACGUCAAGUUUAAAUAAUUAUAAUCCUAUUAUUUGAGUAAUUCCAAUGCACCAUAACAAACAAAUAGAUGAAAUCAAAAGAAGAAUAAAUAAAUCCCAACAACUAAGAAUGCAAGGACAUGGUUUCCAUUAAAGUCCCAUCCAAUGCCAUCUGUUUUUUUUUUUCCUCACUAAAAAGAGAACAGGUGAUGGCAUGGCAAUUUUGGCAGAGACACAAACCAAAUGUCAUAUGACCAUUUAUUUAUAAAUAAUGUUAAAGAAGUGAUGCACAUGUGGCCCCACUUUUCUCUCUUUCAUAUUACAGGAGGGAGUCAGAGAUGUUACGUGGUUCACGCCAUUCCACUGACCUAUUGCAUUAACUUUCUUGGAGUCGUUUUGAAUUUAUACCACUUGCCCUGUUUUCUUUGUAAACAGAUCAGAGAAGUCAUGAUUUUGAUAAAGAAAAAGCAUUACCUUUCUAGGUUAAUUGCAAAUUUAAUCAAAAAAAUUCAUGUCUGACCUGAAUCCUCUGCUGCUCCAAUACUCAUAAAAAAGAAAAAAAAAAAACAUGGACAAAUCAUAGAAGGCACUCAAAUCAAUUGAACAUACAGUUUGGUUCAAUUUAGUUUAGUUGACAAUAUGAAAACUUUUUGAAAAGUACUAAUUAUUACAAUAUAAAACGUUGAGGAAUAAUUUCAUAUCAAAAACAAAAAUAAUUUGACUAAUCAAGAUGCACACAAAAAAAAAAAAAAAAAAAGAUUUGGGUGGUUUUAACUUCAAAACCAUAAAUUGAACCAACCUUUAAUUUUUUAUAUUUUCCAAACCAAACCAUCAAUUUUUCACAAUCAUGAUCUUAGAUAGACUACACGCGUGAACAUAAUCUACCAAGAAAACGAUUACUAAAGCAUCACUUUUUAUAAUUCCAUCUUAAAAUAUCUUUAUCAAUGUGUUCCUACAUUUUUAUCAAUCUUCUAUAACAAUCAAUAUCAUCUAAAACAGAGUAACUGUUUUAAACUCCUAUGGAAGCAUGGCCUUUCAUUAGAAACACAAAAACAGGACAAAUAUUCUGCUCUUUCUGAUAUUAUUUUGUACAAAAGCUUGGACUUUACCAGUGCAUAAACUAAUGAAGAUAACAAGAAAAUUAUGCUCGUUUUGUACGCCUCCCAACUUGAAGAGCCAACUCUGUGUCAAUUUUGAGGGAGAUGUCAAGUGCUUUUACAGAAUGGGUCAAUGCACCACUGUGAAAAAAGUUAAUGAAUUUUAGUAAUGAAGCUCCAAGUAGAUCAGUAAUUUCCACUUAUACGUAUACUAUACAUUCCGACAACAAAUUCAAAUGCAUAAUCCAGCAAGUCACAGCUGCUAAUUCUAAGGAAGAAUGUAAUAUAAUAUACCAAUACCGAUUUGAAGUUCUAUCUAUGCACCCAUCAAUUUCAAGUCAAAACCUGAAACUGCAGGGCAAAAAGCCACUACUAUAUAUGAUUGCAUAGUUACCUAGAAAUGUAGGUUACACCAGUCUGUCCAAUUUUGUGCACUGUUUCAAGAGUAACAUUGCCUGAUGCCUGUUACAAGGAAACAGAUAGAUCAUUAUCUAGCCACAGAAAGGAGAGCAAAAUAAGCUCAAUGCAAUAAAUACAUCCCAAGAUUUAGCAUGUAAUUAUCUACAAUAUAAUUAAACAGUCAAAUAAUUGUGAAAAUAAUAAUCAAAGUGAUCCUUCUUAUAAGAUUCUUGAGACAGGCCAUAUUAACUGCUAGUAAGAGCUACCUCAGUCUCAAAUCUUCCAUUGAUCAACUCCACAGCUUGUUUAAGCAUGGAUACAUCAACAUCCCCAUUUGGCAGUGGUAUAACCAUAUUAUCCAACAUUAUCCGGGUCAAGGAAGUCUUUGUUUGUGAUGUAUAAUCUAACACCUCAUUCACUUCUUCAAGUGUCCUCGUCUCGACCUUGAGGGCAAAAAGAAAUCAGAACAACAUUCAGGAAUUAAAUUAUGAUCUUAUAAGCCACGAUUACAUAUAGAACAGACUAUUUAAAAAAUCACAGGGUUUGGAAUUGAGAAACAAGAUAGAUAAUGAAUCUGUGUUAGGUUUUGCAGAUUCAUCUAAAAUUUGUAAGGUUGAAUUUGAGGUUUUGAAGACUACCUCAACCUCCAUUUGAAGGUUCCUUUGCUCUAAAUACUGAUCAACAGCUUUGAUGGCAUUUAUAAUACCUCCUGCUAUAGAUAUAUGAUUAUCUUUUAUCAUGACCAUAUCAAAUAAACCCAUUCUAUGAUUUCUUCCUCCUCCAAUUAGCACCUGUAACAAGAGAAUGCUACAAAGUCAAUCAAAACCUGGUAUAUGACUGAAAGGAGAACUUAUUCCUAUGUAACACAACCAAGGAAGAUAUACGAACAGCCCAUUUAUCAACUAAACGUAGACCAGGAGCAGUUUUUCGAGUCUCUAAAAUACAUGCUGGGUGUGCAGCAUCUGCCAUUGCCUGCAAGAAGCAUGAAAAAAAAAAUAUAAAAACCUCUUUUCCAAAUCAAAAAAGAAAUAGAAAAAACUAUUAACUAUUAGGUCGCCCAACUUCGUUUGGUUAAUUGCACAUGAAAAUCUCAUUUUAUUUCAUGGGUUAAAAGACUUUAUAACUUCAUCUUAUUCAGUGUUCCUACCCAAAUAUUAUGCAUUAGCUGUGCUCUAACAUAAAUGCAGGUGAGAUGAAAUUUUUUGUUAUUUACAAACUAAAAUGAAAAGAUUGAGACAGCAGCAACGAAAGCAAAAAAUUGAGAAUUUUAAUAUAACACAACUUAUUCCUGGACUGCAUUAGUAUCAGUACUCUUUAAAAUGUUACAUUGAUCAUUCCCCCUUUUAGAUUUCCAAUCCAUUAUCAUACACACUAGAAAAAGAUAAGUGCAUACUUUAUUGCCAAAAUUAAAAAUGCAGAUAUAAAGUAAUAACAUCAUGGCACUUGAAUUUUUUUUUUUUUUCAAAAUUUAAGGAAAUGAAAGAAGAAAACCUUAGUUAAAGUUGCUAUUCCACUCAUCCUCUGCAUAAAGUUUAGCGCUACCCUUUCAGCUACAACAAUAUUGUGUGCUUGUCCUGCACAUAAGAAAAAUGAAAAGUAAAGCAAUAACUUCUGAAUGAGCUCAUCAAACAGUAUGGAAGAGAUUUUUGUUGCUUUAUUUCCCCAUUAGUUUACCAGAGACUCUUCCAAACUGCAGCCCUCUGUGAACACAAUCUCCAUCCUUUUGAGACCAUUCCACCUAAGUUUAAUGCGCAUCAAGAAUGAAAAAGCAUGCAAACCAUACAAAUAAUACAAACUCAUAAGAGUGCAGUGAGUUGUUACCUUCAAAGAGGGAUCAACCUCAUGAAAUAUCAUCUCUGUUAGUGCGAUUCCUGCAAUGAUUCCAUCCUCUUUUGCCAAGAAAUGGGCUUCCACUUCCAUGUCAAGUGGUAUGGUUGCCAUGCAAGUCACAUCUCCUGCAAUUGAACGAUAGAUGUUGCUUGGUAAUCUCUCAUUAUGGGGAAAAACAAUUCAGAAUAUCAGUGAAUGUCAUUUUCUAUAUAUAGGAGCUCUCAAAUUUAAAAGUUAUGUGAAAACCAUAAAAAUCAUCCGAAUGCAGAUACUCAUCUCAGCAAUACAGAUACAUUGGAAUAGAUAUAAUUUAACUACUUGGUGAAUUGGAGAUGAAAAGUACCAACUGAACAUUAAGAAAAGUGAGGGAACCAAACCUUGAUCCCCAGCAUCUUCGGCAAGAGCUAGCUUAAUGACACCCUUCAAAUCAUAGGUAGGAUGCAAAGGAGGCUGUAUCGUCACAGAUUCGAACAUUGUAUUGGGAUUUCUAGUUGCAGUAGCAGACAUUCUAACAAUCCGCCUAUGACAAUUCAAACUAUUAAAACAAUAUUCAACUAUUGGAUUAAUAAAAAAAAUGUACAAAAAAAUCCUUUUGAAUGAGAAUGUACCUUGAAGUUGCAUAUAGAUGAGGAAAAGUUAAUGAAGAACUAAAAAUGAUAGUAGCCAUUGACAGUAUUGGGCUGAAACUGUUUUACUUUUCUGAGCGGGAGCAACUGAGCUUCUAAUAUGAACUGCAAAUGGACGUCAAAGACCUAAAGGAUCAUCCAAACAAGUACAUAAAUAAAUAAAUAAAUAAACUAAAAAGCUCAACACCAAAAGGACAAUUCUUUAAAGUUAGAUUUUCGAAACUUUCCAUCUCAAUUGGCAUCAAGUUCAAAAUCACAAAUAGACGCUUGGAUAUUAACAUGGCAUACACAUAACAGAUUAAAGUUAUCCACAAAAGUUAAUCUUGUUUAGCUGUGCAAUUACAAAAUCAUUACCAUUUAGAAAGCAAUAGAGUAGCAAAAACUGGCAAAAUUCAUCAGACAAGAAACGAGAGCUUUGUUAAUAUCAAUUGAAAUAGCAGAAGAUAAUCAAAGGCGAAAAUCAUCUUGUCAUGAGCUACCAGGUAGAGAAAGUAAAAGCAACAGUAGAGAAUUUAGAAGUAAAAGCCCCUCACUUUGCAGGUAACCGACCACAAGAGCCAAGAAUUCCGCCCAAUAUAUCAAAGAUUAUAUGUAAGGGUAAUUACCAUAUACAUUCUGAGUUCUGUCAUGCAGAAGCUAACAUUUUCCUUUUGAUUUGUUAGAUAAAAGAACCAUCAGUUGUGUGAAUUUAAUUGAAAGGCCAGAAACCUAGUUUUAGGUACAGCGUUCAGUCGUUUAAAGAAUACGGUUGUCGUUUUAAAGCGGGUUUUUCAAGUCCGGUGAUUUAAUGUAACCUUCGACUAGUUAAAAUAGUUUCUACACCAACAGGAUGAUCCAUAUAAGAAGCCCAAACGAAUUUCAAUUAUCUGCUACUGUGGGCUUGCGUUGGGCUCGACAGCAGCUCAGGUUAUAUAUAAUUACAUAGUAAGUCAUCAAAUAAAAUCAUUCUAAUAAUAAUAAAUCUAACUCUCUAAUAAUUAUAUAAAAAAAAAAGGGAAUUCAAGCUUAUAAAUUAAAAUAUUACAAAUAUAAUUUAAUAAUUUUUCAUGUUUAUUUAUCUUAAUGUUUUUCUUUUAUUGAAGAUCGCAAAAUUGUUUAGCUAUAUAUAAUAAUGUUAAUUUAAAUUUUUAAUACUUGGACAAUCAAUAUUUGAUAUAUAAAGAGGAUUUAAAUUCAAGAUUUGUACAAGCUAAGAGAUCAACGAGGCUUACUUUGAUUGACUAAUUUUUAAUAGUUUAAUGUUAGUUAUUAUUUGCACACAACAUGCUUCAAUAAUGAAAUAUAUAAAUAAUUUGGUAUAUAUUGUUAGGUUGUUGUUCACAUUCCCAAUUAUAUAAAUAAAAAUAGAUUAGGAAUUUUUAUAUAAAAUUUAAUCAAUAUACUAUAUAGUUUAUUUGUAUAAUAUCUACAUCCAUUUGGACCACCUAUAAUAAAUAUAUAUUGGAGAAAUCCUUGUCACUUUUCUAAUCUGUUUUUUAAAUUCCAAAUUUGGAGGGCGUGAUGGCUUAUUAAGAAUUUAUGUUGUAAGAAAAAAUACGUUUUUGUUGAAUCUUAAAGAGGACAAAAAUAAACAAAACAUAGCUAUUUCUUGGAACCCUUCAUUUGUAGGCUGGCUGUUCAAACUAGCUCAAGAGAUUGAAUAUAUGAUUUUCACGUUUUAUAUUUCACAAAAUUUGUUGAACACAGAUUCUUUAAUCCUUAAACCAACCUAUCAAAAGUAUCCCAUGUUUUCCAUUUUUUUUCUUUUAUAAAUUUAUAAUAAUUUCUCAGCAAUCAUUGUCACUUUCCUAUUCUUAAAAAGGCACCAUUUGAUUCUUUCACCAUAUAAAAUAAUUUUCGAAUAUAUAUUAUUGUGGGAUUUGUUCAUUUUAACUCAAUAUUGACACACAUCAAUAUAGUAAAUUGUAAUAUCCGCCACUGAAUUUUUAUCGGGAAAAAUUAGAAUUUUAAAUUUAGAGUCAUUACUAUUGGAAGCAUUUUAUUAAAUAAUGAAUAUUACUUUUGGAUCAAACCCAAAACCAUAAAUUUUAUCGAUAAAGUCAAAAAUUAAAAUUUAUAUUUUAUAGUCAUUAUUUGGAGGGUUUUAUUUGAAUAUUACCCUAAUUUUCAAACAGUCAUACGAGUUGCAUACAAAGAGAAAGAGAGGGUUGGUAAUAGACGAAAACCAGAAAUUCAAAAGGACAAAUUUGUCCUUAAUUUGUUUCUAAAAUGGCUGCUAAUGUUUAUGACUUUCACUUAAAAGAAGUAGAUGUUCAAACAGACAAAUAAAUAAUAGUCCACGUUCUUCAAAACCAAACUUAAACAAUUUCUUUAAUAUUCAAAUUUUUAAUAUUAUACAAAAUGCCAACUAUAUAUUAAAUACAUUCUUUUAGUCUAAUACAAACGGCAUUUCAAUUCAACCGCCAUCUCAUCUCUCUUCCCUCUCUAAAUUUUCCCAUUAUAUAUGUCACACACUGAACAUUUCAUAUUCUUAUUUUUACCAUAACACAAGAAGAUCUUCAUACAUGUCACCAUUAAUGGAGAGAUUGAGAUUUGUUUUUGUUGUUCUUGUUCUAGUUUUAGUAAUGGCUACCAUCGGUGCAAGUUCGAGACCGAUCAAAGGGUUAGAGUUCAGUUAUUUGUUCGAAAACCGGUUUCCACGAGGUCCGGUGCCGCCUUCAGGGCCUUCUCCUUGCCAUAAUAAGUUCAUACUUAACACCAGUGACUACGUUAUGUGCCCGUAGUAUAAAUUUUCUUCUCUUUAUUUUCUUUUCUUUGAUUUUUUGAUUUUUGUAUUUUCUCAAACUCACUCACAUAAGAGAAUUUCUUCAUUAUUCUUUUUAUUUGCGAAGGUGGUUUAUAAAUAGAUGGAUAGAUAGAUUAGUUUAGAAGCUAGCUUUGUAAGUUCAAUUUGCCAUUGUUAAAGAACACAAAAUUGGCAAGUUACAUAUUAUUUUUAUUCAUUCUAGUAAUAGUAAAGCUAAUGAGGCACCUUUUUUUAUCAUUAUUAUUUUUAUUUUCAUUUCUCUUAAAUAUAUUAAGGAUAUAUUUUUAUGAUUAUUGUUUUUUAGUUACCACAAUAAAUGUUCUCACAAUUUAUAAGUAUGAGAUUCGUCUCGUUUUGAGAUUCAUAACUGCUUAUUAUUUCUAUGUAUAAAGUUAAAUAUUACAAUUACUAGAUACUUGGUGAAUUUCCUCUUAUAUGUAUAUUAUACACAUGAAUAGUAUGAUUGGGACAAGAGUGACAAUUUCUUAAAAUUCGGUUGGUGCAUAAAUUUAAAAUAAUCCAUGGAAAUAAUUUCUUAAUUUAUAAAUCGAAUGUAGGAGUAUAUUCUUAAACUAAAUUUGCAAAAAAAAAAAAAAAAAAAAAAAAUUCUCAUAAAUUAAUUUAUAAUAUAAUUUAAAAAGGUCUUUAACUGUUGUGAAUUAAAAUAAAUAAAUAUAUAUAUAAACACUCAAUCACCAAAUCCAUUCUCAUUCAUCAAGUUAUUGACAAAAUGCUAUAUAAUAUUUCUUCUAACUUCUUUUAAUCUUUCAGUAAGACAAUAAAAAAAAAAAGGUUUUUUUUUUUUUUUUUUUUUUUUUUUUUGUGCACUCAGAUGUCCACUCUACUGGACCAACUCGAACAGUUCAGCCCAUUUUCUGUGAAUAAUUUGGGCUGUCUAUGGAUGCUACGAUUGUGUAUAAACGGCCCAUAAAAAUGCACGAAAACUCUCGAGUUCUUCACCAUGGAUAGAAAGACCGUAUAAAAAAAUCACGUUGACAUAUAUCAAAUUUUUAUUUACUUAAUUAUUACUAUAAAUAAAGACAUGAACUACCUUUCAAAAAAAAAAAAAAAAAAAAAAGACACACACACAUAUACUCUUAUAUUUUUUAUUUUUUGUGAAAGUUAAUUUUCUAGUUGUUUCCUUUUAAUUCAACUUAACAUCCUAAUCUUUCAUAAAAAAUGAAAAAAAAAAUCCUUAUUGAAUAGGUAAUGUAUAUCUUGAAGGUUAAAUCCGUAUUCUAUCUUUUUACUAAAAAAAAAAUUUCUUUUUUGAAAUUUGUCGUAAAAAGUAAUUUUAUUAUAUAUAUAUCUAUUCUAAAUCAUUUGUAUUAAAUGAGUUAGAGAAAAAAAGUCAAUUCUAACUAGAUAUCAUUACCAACUUCUAUCUUAUAUGGAAUGCGAUUCCAAAAAUUAAAUUGGCUUUUUUAUAAAAAAGAGUAUAAUGCAUUUGUCUGCUUUGGCGUAGGGCAUGAAACUAUAUCUGCACUUUAGCAUAUUCAAUUUUAUAAUAAUUGAUCUCACGACUUAAAGGUAAAAAAAAAAAAAAAAAAGGUAUAUUAGUUAUCACGGCACAGGGAAGAAACUAUAUAUUUCUCUAAAAAUGUCACAAAUCAAAAUUAUUGAGGUACACUAACACUCACUAAUGCCAUCAGUAUGGCCUAUCAUUAUCGCUCAGUGACCCAGUCUUGAUAAUGUCGUUUUUGUAUCCUCCACUUGCUGUCGACCUCUGGUGAGUUUACCUCUUAAGGAUAAUGUUAUUAUUAGUGUUAUUAUCUUUUUAUGCAUCGACACAACACAUUAGGAUUUUUUCAUUAUAUGAUAGUUAAUUAGAGCAACGUCGUUGUGAUGUCAAUUGAUUCUUAAUAUAUAGAGCUUUGCUUUUUCUUUAAAAAAAAAAAAAAAAUCUUAACUAGAAUAAGAUUGAAUUUUGAAUUUUUUUUUUUACUGUAAGUUGUAAACAAUAAACAUUGACCGUUGAAAUAUUACUUUUUAUCUUAAAAAAAGAUAAUUGAUUGAUUGUUGAAAUAUUCAUUUGACAUGAAAGAAAGCUAGGUUGGUUGGUUGGUCGGUCGGUUGGUUGAUUUAUUAAAUAUUAGUAUUAUUUUUAUGGUUUUAAAAAAUAAAUUUAAUAUUUAUAGAGAUUAUUUCUUGUAUUAAUGGGAAAAGAGACGUGCACUUCAAUUUUUCGCGAUGUAGACGGAAAACAAACAAACGUUAGUUAGUAAUACAACUUACAAACAGGUGGCUGGUAGUUACAUGCCGAUGGUUGGUGUGGCAUGAUCAGAUCAGAUGGUUGGUGUGGCAUGAUCAGAUCAGAUGGUUCCAAUGUUUCGUACACUACUUAAAACCACAAAUUAACAACCUCUUGGACCGCAAACUUUAAUUUUUUUUUUUUUUUUGUAUUUAUCAAAGGUAUUUUUUCACUCUCGGUUUUUUUAUUUACUGUAUGCAAGACUAAUCUUUUUGCAUCCAACAAAAAUUAUAUUAAAACCCUUCUCAAGAUGUUGAAGGGUUUUAAUUAAAAAUCAUUUUCAAAAUGUUAAAUAUGUUAUAUAUUAAAAAAAAAAGAUAAAUAAAUAUGUUAUAUAUCAGAAUUUACUGAAUUGAAAAAGACAACUGAAUUAUUCUGAAUAGUACCAUCCAAAAUUUUUUAAUGUAUCAUGUACAUUGGGAUUUACCAAGGUAUAUUGUUAUCCACGUAUGGGAUAAGUAUAUGACAGAAAUAUAGACGACAAAUGAAAAGACAUUACACGACAAGUGCCCAAAAAUUAUCAAAAACAGAAAAAUGGCAUGAUAGUGUAGAAAUAUCAAGAUUCUACUACAUAUAAAUUGAUGAACAACUGAAAUAUACUCUCAAAUAAUACAACAUCCUAACCGACAUUUCUUUUUUUUUUUUUCUGGUCAAAACUUACUAUUUUAGGUUACCCAAACAAUAAUUAUUAAUCUCUCUCUCUUAUAUAUAAUUUUCAUAUAUCACAUCAUGAAAACUUAAUCUAAAUGGUUUUUAGGAUUAAGCGCAGCAAAAAUUGUUGAAAUACAUUAGAAGGGUCAAAUAUUAAAAAGAGUUUGUAUUUAGGUAUUGUUUUUACAAUUUUAAUCAAUUUUUUUAAUUAUAUAAAUCUAUAUUUUUAUACUAAUUUAAUUAGAUCUUAUUUGUACCGAUCAAGAUUAUGAUAUCAAUUAAAAAAAUUAAAAGAAUUUUCUACAAUAGAAAAAUGCUAAAGUUUUAUAUAGUUGAAAAUUUAACAAGUGGAUUACUAAAUUUGUUGCAGGGUCCACUUAAUAACCGUAUCAGCAAAAAUUUGACUGAAGUGAAACGAAAGCGACAGUUAUAAAAAAAAAAGUAAACACGAGGUAUUGAUUAAUAUAAUUAAAAAAAUUAGUCAAAAUUAUAAAAAUGGGCCUAACAUAUAGAAUUUUAUCAUUCGGCCUAUUAAAAAUAGGCCUACCAUUAAAAAAAAUGACAAAUUUUAGAUUUUAAUGGCUUCUAAUAUAAUUUAAAUUUGCAACAAUUAUGAUUUUAUCCCGAUAUUGUAUAGUUCAAAAUAAUAAAAAAAGCUCAUAUAUUUUAUGCUAAUAUUGUAUAGUUCAAAAUAAAAUAUCAUUUUUUCUAAAAAAAAAAAAAAAAUACCAUUCCAAGUUUUAAUCAUGCAAAGAUUACUGACUGAGGAUAUUUAAUAGGUCAAAUAUAUAAAUCUAUUCUAAUACCUUUUGCAAAAAAAAUUUUAACAUCUCUAAUUCUUAGUUUGACUUAUUAAAAAAUUUAACUUGUAAAAUUACAUAUAUUAAACAUUUCAAUUUGUAAAAUUAUUUUAUUGAAAAUUUUAAUUUAUAAAGUUAGAUCGUUUAGACACUUGUCGAACAGCUAUUGUUUUAAAAAUUAUUGUUUUAAAUAUAGAUCAAAUCAAUAUUUUGUAUAUAAAAACCAACAACUUAAAACUGUUGUUUCUACUAUCGAGAAUUGUAUAUGUUAGAAAAAUUCGUAACUUUAAGACUAUAAUAGAUCUCUAAUAAAGUUUAGAGUUUUAUGAAAUUUUUCGCGAACAAUAUGGAAAUAAAUUUAUGUAUAUAUUUGAGUAUAUUUAAUAAGAAAAUAAUUAAUUAGUAAUUUUUAAAAAUUGUUUUAAAAAGAAAAGAACACUAAUUAUUUAAUCUUUUUCUUAAUCUGUUUUAGUUACAGCAAAUUAAAGUGCAAAUAAAAAUGACAAUUUAAUUUAAAUGCGUAUAUUGAAUUAAAACUUUUGGAUUUAGAAAAUUAUAUCCAAACCAAAUUAGUCAAUUUUUUAGUUGUAGACAAAAUAAAAUUAUGAUUUAUGUUUCGAUUUGACUCGUUCAAAUCAAUUUGAAUAAAUUAGGUGUGUUAUAAAUAUCCCAAACAUCAACAACUAACAUUUUUAUCAAUGUUGGUAAUUAUUACUCUACGUAUUAUACUUAAAAAGAAAAAAAAAAAUAACAAGGUUUUAUAUAAUUGUGGUGGUAAGUGACUUCAACUCUCUCGUAAAGGUACAAAUACAAAUUCGAUAAUCGAAAAAUGCAUUUUAUAGGAGGACUAAAAAUUUUUAGUCUUUACGGAUAGCCUGAUGGGAUUAUACCUUCUUGUUAUAAAAAAAAAUUUAGUUUGAAAAGUUUGGGGGAAUAUUGAUAAUUUUUAUCUAGAGUUAUCACCUAAUAAAUUUUUAAUAAAAAGGAAAAAUAAUAAUAAUAUAUUCGGACAAAAUUUUACCUCCCUUCUUCCUUCAAAGAAUGUCAAAGGUGCUUUCUCAAAGAAAAAAAAAAGUCAAAAGUGCAUGUAAGAUCAAUUAGGUGUAGAAAAUAAAUGAACUGCGUACCUACGAUGGGAGCUGGCAGGUACCUUAUUAAUUAGUAGUACAAGCCAUUGAACCGCUAAUUUUCAACUAUUAAUUAUGCUCAAAUCUAUUUAAAAUUUUAAUUUUAAUAUUUAUAUUGAAGACCCCUUAAUAAUUUUUAUAUUAAUACCAUCUAAACUUAUUUAAUUAAUAUUCAAAUUUACUUUAAAUGAAUUAGGAAUAAGCGGGGUACUUGAAAAACCUAUCUCCAUUAUACUCCCAAUUUGUUUAAUAUAAAAUUAAACUAGCAAAAGCUUAAUUUGUCCAAUUCCAUUAAUUUAUUAUAUUUUUUAGUUUGUUAAUGCUUUAAUAAAUUUUCCGAUUAAAGAAAAUAUAUGUAACAUAAUCACAUAUUUUUCUUCUAGAUUGACAACAAAAGUAUAAAAAUAAAUUAAAUAUCAUGAUUCAAAUUGAUUUUUCAGUUAAAAUAUUGCAUUUGAAUAUUUUUUUAUAGCAUGAUAUCCAAACCAGUUCAUCUAAAGAGAUUUUGAACAGUGUUAUUAUCUUUUUAUGCAUGGACACAACACAUUAGGAUUUUUUCAUUAUUACGGAGAUCAAAUUUGAAUUCUGAAAGGGAUUAAAAAAAAAAAAAAAAGAGGAAUAAUUACUCUGUGUUACUGUCUACCUCAUAUCAAAUCUUGAUAUAUUCCAAAGAUUAUAAAUUAAAUUCUAAUAUAAAUCAAAAAAAGAAAAUUAGGGUUAGGCCUAACAUGUGAUUGCUAGAUUUCUUUAAAAAAAAUAAAAAAUAAAUAUUUUUUAUUUUAAAAAUAAUAAAAUUUUGUUAUUUGUUUCUCGAUUUCAAAAGUGGGAUGCAAUUAAGCUUUGAGUUUCAUUUUAGAGCGUAAAUUAUUAAAAAAGUUCAAAAUAGAACGUACCUACAAUAAAUUGCAAAGCUAAAGAUAUUUAUAAUUAUAAGGCUUUGAAAAUAUAUCAUAAGUCAAGUUUCAAAAAUGUAAAUAUUUACGUCCACAUAAAGAAAAUAAUGGAAAAACAAAUCAAUUACUAUUAAUUAAGGAAAUUUAAUGAAGUAGCUGCUCAACGGCAAAAUGAUGAAAACCCAGCGACCCUUCAAUACGAGGAAUGAACCACAAAAGUGUUACCAUCGUUAGUGUUAAUAAAAUAAAAUAAAUAAAUAAAUAAAAAAUAAUCUACUGGAUCAUAGAUUGUAGUCAACCUAACUGGACCGCAACAUAUCAACAUUUUCAAGACUAGCUCAGACAUAGAUGUCCAUGGGCCAAUUAUUCUGGGUAAAUGAAAAUGCAAGAAAGGAAAGGGAAAGCCGAAUUAAGUUUUCUGGUUUCGUGUAAAAAAAAAAACCUCAGAGGCAGGUGGCACUGCCACACACCGACCAUAUCAUUUGGUUAUUUUAUAUUUAUACAUAAUGAAAAUUCUUAACUAGAAUAAGAUUGAAUUUUGAAUUUUUUUUUACUGCAAGUCCUAAACAAAAAACAUUAAUCGUUGAAAUAUUACUUUUUAUCUUCAAAAAAGAUAAUUGAUUGAUUGUUGAAAUAUUCAUUUGAAAUGAAAGAAAGCUAGGUCGGUCGGUUGGUUGAUUUAUUAAACAUUAGUAUUAUUUUUAUGGUUUAAAAAAUAAAUUUAAUAUUUAUAGAUAUUAUUUCUUGUAUUAAUGGGAAAAUAUUGUAUUUGAAUAUUUUUUUAAAACGCGAUAUCCAAAUCAGUUCAUCUAAAGAGAUUUUGAAGGAUGAAUAUGAAGUUCUAAACCUAAAUAAACGAUGAAUAGUAUAUUUAAUAAUUUUAUUCGUCUCAAACCUGAUUUAAAUGAAUUGAAAUAAAUUAGUUAUUUGAAAAAGUUUAUGAUAUUUCUAUUCCUAAUUAAACAUCUCAAAAAAAAAAAAAAACAUAUUUAAAUAAAUUUAAGACACAAUUGAGAUUUAGUUUAUUAAUAUUAAAUUUGUACAAAUUUUGUGUGCGAGACUAAAAUUGAAGAAAUUUAAUUUGAUAUAACUAAAAUUAUUAUAAAAUGUAAAAUUACAAGUUUGAAAUAUAGGCAAUGAGAGCUAAUAAAUAAAUAUUAACCAGAAAAAAAAAAUUAAAAAGGGAUCUAGUUUAUUGGGGAAGAUGAGCCAGAAAUGUGGGUGGAUGAAGGUAGCUGGGGAUCAUGUGGGGGUUUCGGGGAAAACAACUAAUUGUACUAUCUAUUUUCGUCUAUCAGCAUUUCAAGAUUCACACGAGCACAGCUAACUAAAAGUUUUUUUUUUUUUUUUUCCUACCACACUCUUUAGUCAUCUACUCUCUUCUUCUUCCCUUUGGAUAGGGCAAUCUCUCUUCCAGUGAAGACAAUUUAUUAUAUUUAUGGUUGUUAAGAAAAGAGCUAUUCACAUGCAACCAUUUCCUUCUAUGCAAUGUGUCAACCGUGGGUCAAACUUCUCUCACGUGUCGAAGGUAGCAGAUACACAGUGCAAGAACCAAUCCGCUCGCUUCAAUUUUGCAAUAUCCUUUUUCUUUUCUUAAUAUUUUAUCUUAGUUAUCUCUAUAAAAGUCGACCCCCCUUCCCUCAAACUCACUCGCUUACUCUUGAAUUCAAGAAUCAAGAUCGUCUAUUGGAGGCGACUCUGCACCAGGUUUAUACAUAUUCUCUUCUCAUUCUUGUUUGAUUUAUACGAUUACUUCUUUCUUUUCAAUAUAUAUUACUCUACUUUCUUUGCUGAUUUGCAGGUGGGUUGAGGAUUAUCCAAAGAAAUUAAAGACAAUAAUUUUUGUGUCAGAUUCAGAUAUCGGUUGGGUGAGUGUGUUCCAUGCUAUGCUUGUCAAAUAAGCAGUCUUUUGCGAAUUAACCUUUGUUUCGUUGUCUGUUCGACCUUGAUCAAUACAUAUCUUUUCUUAAACUGUAUAUCAAAAAACCCUAAUUUAGAUUUUCUUUAUUUUGUUUUCCAUAGUGCAACCAGUAUCAGGAUAGGGCAAAAAAUCCCAGAUUUUUAUUUUUUUGAACUGAAAACUUUCAUUGCCUAGAAAUCCAGAUUUGAAUAUAUCAUAUCUCUACACCAUGAACGAAUCUAAAAAAUUAGACAAUUCUUCUUUAGACCCAAAAGUAUUAGUUUUGGUAAUCUGAAGCCUACUUUAAAGAAUAAAUAAAUAAAAGGGUGCAACAUGCAAUUAAGAUUCAUGCACCUGCAUUAUACACACAAGCAUGCAUGUAUUUUAUGUUGGAAUCCAAUAUAUAUAUAGGCUACAUUAGUGACUUUCAGGUGUAUAACAAAGUAUGAGUAUAAGUAAAGAUAAGGAAAUAUUACCUAAUAAGAGUUAUUUUAAUAAUAUAUGUACAUAUAGGUUUUGAUUUCAUCAUUGCAUUAAGAAUUUUGGAUAGUGAAUUAAUGCAAUUAUAUAUAUAUACCUAUAGUUUUCCCAAUGUCAUAUAUUAGACGGAAAAACAAUCCUUCGAUCUACUGUGAAGGACUAAGAAUUAAAUUAAGAAAUAAUGUAAUGAUUUUAGAAAAAGAAAAAUAAAAUCAUAUCGCUGCUCAUUGAAAAGGCUUGUGAGAUAGGAGAUUUAUGAGAAAAGGACAUCUUAGUUAAUAUGAUACUGGCUUUGGUUUUUCAUUGUCAUGCAACCAGAAGAAAUAAGAUGCUAAGGUCGAGGAGUUUCAGAGUUUCAUAAAUAUGGUAGCUGAAGAAAUUUUGAAAAGUAGGUCUAGGAGAAAAUGCGACAAGGAUGUGGAUUCUUUUUCGACUUUGCAAGCUUGAAAAUAAAUGUUCUUGGAAGGUGCAAUCCUGAUAUACCCUAGCCAUAGUUAUAUGAAUAAGACUAUAAGGUACUAGAUAUUUUAAAUGUUCUCAGGUUUAGACUUAACUUUCUUGCAUCUCAAUUGAUUCAAACUAUAAAAAGAAAAAAAAAAAAAAUUAAAGGCACAUCUUUUCUUUUAAAUAGGGAAUAUUAAGCCCUUAAAAUUGGGGUCUUUAAUGUAUUAAUUACAGUCUGCAUUGCGUUUAAUCUACUCCAUAGUCUCUAAGUCUGUACAAGCCACAAACUCGAAGCCAUUGGAAUAUAGUAAAGGUCAAUUAGCUUUUGAUUUUGAAAUUCUUGGGUUGCAAAAUUGCAAGCUGCAACCAUAUAUUUAUUAUCAUCGACGUAACUAUGCAAAAUGGGUUAUUUAUGAUGUAAAGAAUAUUAAUCUGAAGAAAAUAUAUUUAUAUAUGGUUCUAAAAAAAAUUUUGAAAGGUCGAACACAUGACGAAUUUGAGGUAUUAAGCAAGGGACUAAUUAUUUGACAAGGUCAUUUGCAUGGAAUUCAAUACCCUAAAUUUGUUGUUGCUCCUCCAAUGCACAAGGUCAGCCACGCCACGCCGAAAAGGGAACCGAUUUGAAAAAAAAAAAAAAAAAAAGAGGUACGCUUUCGUGUUUCUUUUUUUUUUUUUAAUUUUUCCCUUUAUUUAUACUUCCAAGUUCUAAACUCGACAGUUUUAAGAAUGUUCGUGCAUGAUUUACUUAAUUAUAUAUGUCAAAAACCUGUAUACUUCUUUGUGUUUUAGAAAAGAGCUUAAUUAGAAAUGUACAUUUCAACAGUGAAAUUCCUAUCAAGAUUUCAAACUGGAAAAUUUCUGAAAUAAAUUUGAAGUUUAUUUCAAAUUAAAGUAACUUUGAUGAUCUCCCAAGAAGGCUUCGCCCUGCUGUUGCUAUCAAGGAUUUCAUGGGUACCGCGAAGCUAAUUUCUCAGCGGAUAAGUUGGUUUGUAUAGCAGAAGGCUUCCGGUUGAGCACUCAUAUUAUAGAUUUUUCCUAACUUGAUCUUAGACAAUGGCUAUGCAUGAUAAUAGUGGGAUUUCAACUUUCAUAUCCUACAGAUUGUUUGUAGAUUUCUUUAGAGUUAUGCUCUACCAUUUGUACCAAAAAAGAAAAAAUUUGAAGUUUAUUGGCUACCUACCAUUUUGCUUGACUUGACCAAGAAAUCAGAACGGUACGUACUAUAGUUUCCAAUCAUAUUCCAAUGGUCGACACCAAUAAAAGAAGAGAGAGAAUCGCGAGGGUUUUUCCAAGAUAAAUGUGAGAAAGAUGAACCCAUCAGUCAACAGUUUCAUCUCCUGCUAUUAGUUAGUUUGUUCGAUUUGUACAGUCUUGAACUUGCAGAUAAUCAAAAUUCACUUGGAGAUGCAAAUAAUUUGUUAAUUAUCCAAUAUGUUACCCUUAAAUUUUUAGGAAUACAUGUACAUUUAAGUUUUUUCCUUAAAAUUGAAUCAUCUGAUAAUUUUUUAAGAAAAAUUUGACUACACUAAUUGAAUUCCCCUAUAAGUCUACAACUAGGUCAAGUAGCAUGGUUAAAAGAAAAAAAAAAAAAAGAAGAAAAUAAUGAAAUUAUUAAACCAGCUAUUUGAUUAAUCGAGACAAAGAAUAAUUUCUAAUAAUUAAUAAUUUUUAUGAUUAAUAAUGGAAACCAUAAAUUAUUUAUAAAUUUUUAAUUCAAUUUUGCCUUCUUCCUAAAUUAAAUUCAACCAAAGUCUUGCUUUGAAUUGUUUAGCAUGUAAAAACUUGAAUUCUAGUUAAACAAUAGCAGUCUAAUGCAGAGAUUAAUACUACUACUCUACAUCUAAACUAGAAAUUAAAAUUAAAAAUCUGAAUAUAUUCUUUAAAUUAAAACGUUCUUAUAACUGCUCAUUCUAAUAAAUUUAAAGAAAAAAAACUUGUUUAUUGAUUUGAAUUCUGAAAGCUCCCCGUUUAGAUAAAUAUGGAUAAACAUUAGCAUAUGUUAUUAUCUAAAAGUUUAUGGUUCAAUAAAUUAAUAAAAAAUGAUUCAAUAAUUAAAAUUUUGUUAGCACAUGUACAUUAAUUGGUAGUUUCAGUGUAUGAUUGAGAGUGUAGCUUUCUCUGGACUCUGCAUUACAUUAAAGGUGUGGCUGUUAAGCAGAUGAUGAAGAUAAGCAUGGGCAAGUCAAAAUUCAGCGAUACACUUGUCGAUCAAUUAGCACAAUACUCCAAAACUAUAAUCCCUCAACUUUGCGACAUAACAUAUUACAGUUUAAAUAAAUAAAUAAAAAGAAGAAUUAGGAUCUAUCUUUCCACACAUAUACAUGUUUUAAUUAACAAGUCAUUCUCUAUAUAGGAGGAUUAGGUCGGAUCUUUCCCAGAGAAAAGCGUGAUAUACAAGUACUUAUUCAACGUUUUCUUCUUCUUCUUCUUCUUCUUUUUUAUAAUAUAUUUUAAUUAAGGUUUAAGAUUUCUUAACAGACCAUGUGCUUUCUUUUAUUGCUUUCAGGUGGGAAUUAAAGAACAAACAAGGAAAAUUUGUUGAAUCAUGGCCGGUUGAAUAAGUUCCGUGCUAUAUGCUUGUCGAGAGAACAGUCCUUUUUUGCAUAUUAACCUUUCUUUCGUUGUCUGUUCGGCCUUGAAAUUAAUCUUUUUCACAUAUUUAUAUAGCUAAAUUCGUUUCUUUUUGUUUGAAAGAUUAUUAUUGUUCUAAGUAUUUCAGUCUCAAAUACGUGAGUUUGUAUUGCAUAUCGGUUUUCUUAAAUUCAUAUUAUAAUAAAAAUGAAUUUAUCAAUUACCGUUAAUUACAUAAUAUUUUAUGAUGAUCAUUUAUCUGCAAACAAACCUUAACACGGUAGAACAAACUCGUGGUACAACGAUAAUGUUGACAAAAAAAAGAAAGGGCUGAAUUGCAUUGGGAAAUUCUAACUAGUUUUGUUUUGUCUAUCCAUUCUUGUCCUUUGAAAGAGGUGGGGGGUUAGUGUACAGUUGCAACAAGUCCAAAUCAUAGUAAAUGUAACAAUUAUUUUCACGUCAUAUGGUUAGGUCUAAAGCAUUGUCGAGUGUAUCAGUUAGAUGGAUCCAGCUUUUCUCUGUUGAGAAAUUGGCAUUCAUUUAUAAAUUGUUGGGUCCAUUAUAUGUUGUCCUAUUUGUUCCAUAGGAGUUCUAUAUUAAUUGUUGGAAAAUUCCUCUUGGUAUAUAUUAUGUUCCUGGUAUACAGUUACAUAUACUUUUAAUCAAGUGAAAAAUCAUUUUUGGGCUUAAUUAAUUUUAAUUGUCAACUAGAUGUGAAAUGAAUAUACUAAACUAGGAGAAAGUAACUGUAAUAGCUGAUAAGAAGAAUUUUAAGGUCGAUUAGGACAGCGAACGCAGGGAAUAAGCUAAGGGACUGGUCGUUUGACAAGGUUUUACAUGGAAUUGGACAACUCAAGUCUUUGGCAGGUAGGUAACAGGAGAAGAAGGUAAGAUUUCACCAAACGACAGUAAUAUUGUUGCUCCUGGUAGCUUUACUUCUAGAAAUGCACAAAACGAGACGAAUAUUGUCUUUUCCUGAAAUUAUGACCCAAAUAGUUUAUUGCAAAAAGCUUGGUGAGUGUAAGCCCAACCCAAGAAAAGCUACGGCCUUUUUGAAUUCUGCUCCAUCUUCUCCAUUUUUGGCGAAGGCACUUGCCCUUCGUCAGUACAUGUGAGUAAGUUCAUUGCUGAUCUCGGCAGUUACUCAUGGCAAUUCCUAAUUCGUGACGAACCCACUCCGCCAUAUGACCGGAGAAGGAAGCUUACCGGUCAUGAAGCGGCCACUUAUUCAAAUCACCUUAUUUUACAUCACUUCAAAUCAUUUCUGUUUGGUUACUCUGCUAAUAAACGGCAAGCAUUGUAUCAUUUCUUGUGUUCUCUAAAAGGAUCAGAUUGCUUGUGUAAAUGUUUUUGUUGUAUUAUUCAAGGAAGCAAGAUACAUACUUAUAGAGUUUACAGAUUACAUUUGAAAUAUAGAAAAUCUCCAAAUCAUAUCUAAACUAUUUACAGUUAAACAAAAUCAAAUAUCAGAAACUAACUAGUUUGACUUGGUACAAGAGAGUUAUCCUCAAUACACCCCCGCAAGAUUGAGCUUCCAUCAAAGAUGCCAAUCUUGGGUCGAAAAACACGUAAUCGAACUUUGGACUGCGGCUUAGUAAGCAAAUCAGCAAGCUGAUCCUGACUAGAGAUAUGUUGAACAACAAGUUGACCAGAAGUUACCUUCUCACGGACAAAAUGAUAAUCAAGAGAUAAAUGCUUCAUGCGAGAAUGGAAAACAGGAUUAGCACAGAAGUAUGUAGCCCCAAUAUUAUCACACAAGAUUAAUGGCUUAUAAAUAACUGUAGGCUGGAGUUCUUGAAGCAAACUUUGAAGCCANNNNNNNNNNNNNNNNNNNNNNNNNNNNNNNNNNNNNNNNNNNNNNNNNNNNNNNNNNNNNNNNNNNNNNNNNNNNNNNNNNNNNNNNNNNNNNNNNNNNNNNNNNNNNNNNNNNNNNNNNNNNNNNNNNNNNNNNNNNNNNNNNNNNNNNNNNNNNNNNNNNNNNNNNNNNNNNNNNNNNNNNNNNNNNNNNNNNNNNNNNNNNNNNNNNNNNNNNNNNNNNNNNNNNNNNNNNNNNNNNNNNNNNNNNNNNNNNNNNNNNNNNNNNNNNNNNNNNNNNNNNNNNNNNNNNNNNNNNNNNNNNNNNNNNNNNNNNNNNNNNNNNNNNNNNNNNNNNNNNNNNNNNNNNNNNNNNNNNNNNNNNNNNNNNNNNNNNNNNNNNNNNNNNNNNNNNNNNNNNNNNNNNNNNNNNNNNNNNNNNNNNNNNNNNNNNNNNNNNNNNNNNNNNNNNNNNNNNNNNNNNNNNNNNNNNNNNNNNNNNNNNNNNNNNNNNNNNNNNNNNNNNNNNNNNNNNNNNNNNNNNNNNNNNNNNNNNNNNNNNNNNNNNNNNNNNNNNNNNNNNNNNNNNNNNNNNNNNNNNNNNNNNNNNNNNNNNNNNNNNNNNNNNNNNNNNNNNNNNNNNNNNNNNNNNNNNNNNNNNNNNNNNNNNNNNNNNNNNNNNNNNNNNNNNNNNNNNNNNNNNNNNNNNNNNNNNNNNNNNNNNNNNNNNNNNNNNNNNNNNNNNNNNNNNNNNNNNNNNNNNNNNNNNNNNNNNNNNNNNNNNNNNNNNNNNNNNNNNNNNNNNNNNNNNNNNNNNNNNNNNNNNNNNNNNNNNNNNNNNNNNNNNNNNNNNNNNNNNNNNNNNNNNNNNNNNNNNNNNNNNNNNNNNNNNNNNNNNNNNNNNNNNNNNNNNNNNNNNNNNNNNNNNNNNNNNNNNNNNNNNNNNNNNNNNNNNNNNNNNNNNNNNNNNNNNNNNNNNNNNNNNNNNNNNNNNNNNNNNNNNNNNNNNNNNNNNNNNNNNNNNNNNNNNNNNNNNNNNNNNNNNNNNNNNNNNNNNNNNNNNNNNNNNNNNNNNNNNNNNNNNNNNNNNNNNNNNNNNNNNNNNNNNNNNNNNNNNNNNNNNNNNNNNNNNNNNNNNNNNNNNNNNNNNNNNNNNNNNNNNNNNNNNNNNNNNNNNNNNNNNNNNNNNNNNNNNNNNNNNNNNNNNNNNNNNNNNNNNNNNNNNNNNNNNNNNNNNNNNNNNNNNNNNNNNNNNNNNNNNNNNNNNNNNNNNNNNNNNNNNNNNNNNNNNNNNNNNNNNNNNNNNNNNNNNNNNNNNNNNNNNNNNNNNNNNNNNNNNNNNNNNNNNNNNNNNNNNNNNNNNNNNNNNNNNNNNNNNNNNNNNNNNNNNNNNNNNNNNNNNNNNNNNNNNNNNNNNNNNNNNNNNNNNNNNNNNNNNNNNNNNNNNNNNNNNNNNNNNNNNNNNNNNNNNNNNNNNNNNNNNNNNNNNNNNNNNNNNNNNNNNNNNNNNNNNNNNNNNNNNNNNNNNNNNNNNNNNNNNNNNNNNNNNNNNNNNNNNNNNNNNNNNNNNNNNNNNNNNNNNNNNNNNNNNNNNNNNNNNNNNNNNNNNNNNNNNNNNNNNNNNNNNNNNNNNNNNNNNNNNNNNNNNNNNNNNNNNNNNNNNNNNNNNNNNNNNNNNNNNNNNNNNNNNNNNNNNNNNNNNNNNNNNNNNNNNNNNNNNNNNNNNNNNNNNNNNNNNNNNNNNNNNNNNNNNNNNNNNNNNNNNNNNNNNNNNNNNNNNNNNNNNNNNNNNNNNNNNNNNNNNNNNNNNNNNNNNNNNNNNNNNNNNNNNNNNNNNNNNNNNNNNNNNNNNNNNNNNNNNNNNNNNNNNNNNNNNNNNNNNNNNNNNNNNNNNNNNNNNNNNNNNNNNNNNNNNNNNNNNNNNNNNNNNNNNNNNNNNNNNNNNNNNNNNNNNNNNNNNNNNNNNNNNNNNNNNNNNNNNNNNNNNNNNNNNNNNNNNNNNNNNNNNNNNNNNNNNNNNNNNNNNNNNNNNNNNNNNNNNNNNNNNNNNNNNNNNNNNNNNNNNNNNNNNNNNNNNNNNNNNNNNNNNNNNNNNNNNNNNNNNNNNNNNNNNNNNNNNNNNNNNNNNNNNNNNNNNNNNNNNNNNNNNNNNNNNNNNNNNNNNNNNNNNNNNNNNNNNNNNNNNNNNNNNNNNNNNNNNNNNNNNNNNNNNNNNNNNNNNNNNNNNNNNNNNNNNNNNNNNNNNNNNNNNNNNNNNNNNNNGUUGUGGUAAACGGUGAAGGAGCCGCCAUUGGCCACUCAUACACGCCAUCUUUAUUCUUCCCUUGAAUGAGAGGCACCCCCGUGUUGAGAUCUUUCACCUUAAAAAGAAAAGGAAAAAAUUCAAUGGAAACAUUAUUGGAAAUACAAAAUUGGGCAACAGAGAUGAGAUUUUUUUUCAUGGUAGGAACACAUAAAACAUCAGAUAAUUUGAAGGAGAGAGAAGAAUGAUUAAGAUUUGUUUGUCCUGUGUGUGUUAUAUUCAAACCUGAGCCAUUACCAAUAAGUAUUUCGUCAGGGCCUGUGUAUUCGGAAUGAACAGACAAGUUACCAAGAUCACUUGUGACAUGAUGGGAAGCUGCAGAAUCAAGAAGCCAGGGGGAGGAGCUAGGAUUCGAGGUCAUUGUGGCAUUAGCAGUUGGAUUUGGAGUUGAUCGUUUUUUUAUCUUGAAGCAGUCUUUGGCCGAAUGACCAAACCGAUCACAGUAUUGACAUUGAAUUUGCAAUUCUCCAUUGUUGCGUGGUUGAGAAGAACGAGAGGAUUGUCCUCUAUAUAGAUUGAAGCUGUUGCCAUUGUUUUGAAAGGAUUUUCGGGUCUGGUAGUUGCGUCUUGUAGCAUUGGCUUGAAUGGAAAUUUCAGGGGAAUUUUCUUUUUUAAGAACAUGUUCAAAGUCCAGGAGUUUUUCAUGUAGUUCUUCAAAAACAAUGGGUGUUUCUCGUGCUCGAAUGGCAGUGGUUAGUUCUCGAAAUUCGGAUCCAACACCAUUUAGAAUGUGAAUGGUGAGAUCAUCAUCAGAUAAAGGCUUAUCAAUGAGAGCAAGCUCAUCAGCAGUGGAUUUAAGAGAUUGAAGGUAAUCAAAAACAGAUUUGGUGCCACGAGGCUGUGAGAGUCUUUCUUUGAGAUGCAUGACUCGAGAACGGGACUUAUUCGCAAAGCGUAAGGCUAGCUUAUUCCAAGCCUCAGCUGAUGUUUUUGACGAAGAAAUAAGAGUAACCAGUGAUUCAGAAACAGAAGCGAAAAUAGCAUGAAGAAGAAGAUUAUCUUGACGAAACCAAAGAGCAUAAGCAGGAUUGACGGAAACGGUUUCGCCAUUGGUGAGGAUGGAGGGUGGACAUGGCAACGUGCCAUCAAUGUAGCCAGUGAGGUCAAGACCAAUUAAAAGGGCAUAAAAUUGAGCACGCCAUGAGGGAUAGUUAAGGGUGGUUAAUUUAAGUGGAAGCUGAGUGGCAGCAUUGAUGGUAAUCAGAGUAUUUUCGGAAUUAACAGGAAUUGUUGUAGAAGCAACUUGAGGAGUUGUAGCCAUUGUAGGAUCUAAAGAAAAAAAACUCGUUUGAGUAUUUUGGGCUCUGAUACCAUAAAAGGAUCAGAUUGCUUGUGUAAAUGUUUUUGUUGUAUUAUUCAAGGAAGCAAGAUACAUACUUAUAGAGUUUACAGAUUACAUUUGAAAUAUAGAAAAUCUCCAAAUCAUAUCUAAACUAUUUACAGUUAAACAAAAUCAAAUAUCAGAAACUAACUAGUUUGACUUGGUACAAGAGAGUUAUCCUCAAUAUUCUCCUCGUGUUGCAGUGCAGCCACCAAAGCCCUAUAAUGUUUGGCGGAGAGGUAUAUUGCUAUAGUUGACGGCUGAAACUGUUGGUGGAUUAACCAUUCUUUCCGUUGAACCUACAGAAGCUCGUGUUGGGAGACUUAAUUAGAAUGAAGAGGAAGAUUAAUUUAGAAGCUUGAAAGCUUAUACAAGUCCGAAAAUGAGAAUGGGAGGUGAAGGUCCAACGAUUCCACCUCUGUGAAGCUAUACAUUCAGUUUAGAAUUGAAAUGAUUGUUGUUGGCUCCAGAAUUUCUUCGAAUUCAAAUGAAAUGGCAACUUUCUGUGAUUGUAUUACAAGACUUUUUUUUUUUAUGAAUUAUGGAGAUAAAUGGAGCCAAAUUAAUUUUAAAACAAUCUUAAGCCCGAACUAGUUGGAUUCCAGUGUAUGAAUUUUUUAUUUUUAUUAAGUCUAAAUUUCAACUAUAUAAUUUUAAAAUAAAAAAUAAAAUAAGGGAACAACUCCAUUAGUCAAUUGUUUUUUUAUAGAAUGCUUAAUCAUAUAUGUGCCCACAUUUAUAUAAAUUAACAAUUAAAAAUGGAUUAAUGAAUGAUGAAAUGACUUUUUUUUUUUGACAUUUAAUAUUGGUUAUUUAUUAUUAAGAGAAAAAAUGAGCAAUACAAGUGGGAACAAUAUCCCAAGUUCGAAAACAAGCCACGUGAGGAACAGAUUUAGCCAAUACAUGAGCUAUAUUAUUUGUUUGUCUUCUUAUCCAAACCAAGGUGACAUUUGGCAAUUGGACUAAAAGUAGCUUAAAUUAAAAAAUAACUACUCCAAACUCAGACCAAUCUUAGGCAGAAUUCCUCAUAGCACAGUAAACCUGCAGAAAAUCGGUCUCAAUCUGAAUAUUCAGGUUGGAGUAGCUCGAUAGCAACCAAGACAACACCGUUCUUAGCGUCUGAGCUUCUGCUACUGCUGGAGAAGAACAAUCUUGUAAUGAAGACGUUGCUGCUGAUACAAACCUGCUGUUGCAAUUUGAAAUUACAGCACCAACGGCUCCAUGGCCAACAGAGGGGCGAAGAGUUGCAUCAAAAUUGAUUUUAAAAGUACCAACAGGUGGUGGAAACCAUUGAUUAUCUGCAGGAGCAUCUGUACCUGUACCUGAGCCUGACGGAUUCAGCUGGGCUUUCUUCCAAGAUGCGAGCAUACUUCUGGCGCGAGUAACUACAUGAUAAGGCCCUUCUUCCACUUGAUUCCAUUUCAGCGCAUUACGGGUUGACCAAACACUCCAUAGUCCCAUAACAAAACUUUCAAAAAAUUCAUUCUCCCACAGCUUGUGUAAAUGUUCCAACAGUUGCAAGAAAGUCGGAAAAUUCCCAGUAGUAAGCUGAAUACCAAAAAACUGCCAACAAAAGCUCACUCGUGGACACUCAACAAGAGCAUGGCCUAAUGUUUCAGCGUUACCACAGUAAUCGCAUCCUGUAUCAAGCUCCAGUCCCCUUCUUGCCAAAGUUGCUUUAACUCAAUAAAAGCAUGGACUAAUGAAAUGACUUAAUUUGUUACGAUCUAAAUAAAACUAAGAUAAAUCUCACACCAUUUACAAAGUUUAUAAUUUCUAAACGAGAAUGCAAAAUAAAAUAACAAGGCGACUUGCUCAUAAUUCCACUGAAUUUCUAAAGGGGAUUAGAGAACGACAUCGUUUUUUGGAGAAUGCUAAAAUGAGUGGAAAAAUCAACAGGAAUGAUACUACAGCUGCAAGGAUAUAUACCAUCCUAUUGAAAGAUGACUUUGAUCAGUUAGCAACGUAGAUCGGAUAGGUGGAAAGAAUUUUUGAGUUCAAUCCCAUUAAAUACAUUUGCACUGAAGGACGGAGAUUCGGGCAGUAGAAUAUGGAGCAGUUUAAAAAAAGAAAAAAAAAAUCACUUUAGAUGGAGAAAUAACAACAAAAUUCUAAGAACUCAGAAGGCGACAUGCCGUGACAUGAACGACAGGCCGUUAAAAGAAAUUUGAGGUUCCCGUUUUGCCACGUCAGACACACGUGUUAAUUCGACGUCUUUCCCAGAGAUUCUAUCAACGUCCACAAAAACUGACUGUCCCACCUCCACCUCCAAUUCUGCCACCAUAUAAAACCCGUCAAACGCCGAGAACUCUCCAAACGAGCAAAAUAUCUACCACAGCCACCAAAAUAUCUCUCUCCCUUAGAAAAAGUUUUAUUCCUGAACUUUCCAGAUAACCAACAAUCAUCAUCAUCUCUUUCGUCGGAUACUUUCACUUCUUCGCUGUAUAAAACCUCCUCCAAACCAUCAAUGUCUAACCACUAUAGCGCGCACCUUUUUUUCUGUCUCAACUACCAGAAGGACAAGGAUAUGAAGUUUUAAAGGGAUUUCAAUCUCAAUAUCUUCAGAUUUAUACGGAGAUAAUUAAUGAUGGAGAAGGAGGAGUCGACAUCUUAUUAUAGCGUUCUUGGUGUGAGUAUGGAGUCUUCCAUUGAAGAUAUAAAACGUGCAUAUCGAAGACUCGCUAUGGUAAGAGUUUGAUGAAUGCGAUAUGGUUUUUGCUUCUUUAAUUGUUACUUUCUUUCCUUUCAGUUUGGAGGUUGCAAAAUGGUGUGAAUAUCCGAUGUGAAUUUGACUUGUUUUGUCAUGUUGCAGCAAUGGCAUCCUGAUAGAUGGACAAGAACCCCUUCUUUGUUAUGUGAAGCCAAACGUAAAUUCCAACAAAUUCAAGAGGCGUAUUCAGGUAAGAUUUUUAGGAUUUCAAAUGGGUCUUCGUUCUUUAUAGAUAGUGAGUGUUAAUAAUUGACAUUUCUAAUUAAGUGAUUGAAGUUCUGUUCGCAACAGUGUUGUCAGACCAGAAGAAGAGGUCAUUGUAUGAUAUAGGACUAUAUGGCCCUGAAGAGGAAGAAGAUGAGGUGACAAAUUUUUUCUCCCCUUUACAGUUACAGGCUUCUAUUCUGAUGUUUUCUUGAAUACGCUUUAACUUGUUUGUUUUGCUAACUUGUUGGAUUUGAUGCUUUGCUUGUUUCAGGGUUUCUAUGAUUUUAUGCAAGAACUGCUGUCUCUUAUGGCACAGGACAAGAGAAAGGUAAGCUUCAGAUUUACAUUUUCUAUCUUUUCCUUGUAAUUAUCAUUUUUCACAUAAAGAUAGAAUUCAACUUCGGAUAGGACUCUUCUAGCCAUUGUUACAUGGGAAAUUGAGAAGGAACGGAUUCUAUAACUCACCACAUCAUUUUUAUUAAAAAAUAGAAAAUUUGGGAGUUGUCUAAAAUGUUCUAUGGUGCUUGAGAAAUUUAUGUUAUUGAUUCAGAUAUCAAAAGGGAAAAUUAUAGAAAUUUGACAUUACGGUUGACACAUAAAGAUGCCGGCUUUCGUCUAUCUUCAAUCAUCUCUCUGCAAUUUGGUGUAUAAGAUGUAAAGGUACAGGAUAAAUUACGGGCGUAACUGAUUGGAUUCGGGCUUUGCCUGAGAUUAUGCAUUCACAAAAUAUCCAUAUGUUUUUUCUACUAGUGUAAUUUUUAUGCGUUAAUUUCAGAUUUUCAUUAUUUCGUAAGAUCAUAAACUAUCCUAUCUUAAGAGGAUUAACCUGAAAAUUCAGCAUUUCCAAAACUGCUCUCUUUACAAUUAGACAUUAGACAUUAGACCAAAUUAUUUAAUAGAAACAAGAUCAUGCAUCCAAGUAUAUUAGAUUAUGAAAUAACUUAUGUUGUUUUUGUAAUUUCUCGACGUGAAAUGUUAUAACUUUUAGUUCUGGAUCAAGGUUCCCUUGGCCUCUUCCAUUUUGGUUGUUAAUUAUGUAAACCAUUUUUAAUAUAUGUGCAGGAUAAGAACUACAGCAUGGAAGAACUACAGAGAAUGUUGAUGGAAAUGUCACAAGGAUUUGAAUCAUCAGUUUCACACCAUGGAUCUUCCAUUCUUGAUGAUCCUGCUGGCCACUCUAAAAGGGCCCGAUGGGAUCCAAACGGGAUGAUGGAUAGCAAUGGCUCUCAUUUUGGUGUAGGAAGUUGGGGAUGUGCGGAGCAAGCAGCCAUUGCAAAUAAUAUGGGAUGGUGAGAAGAUGAGCUAUAAAUGAGUAAUUUCACCAUAAUGGAGAUUGAGUUUUGUGGUUCAGGAUUUCGAUGUAAGAAGAAUAUGGAUGUGUAUGAAAAUGAUUACAGUUGACCAAGAUUUUUUUUGGAACACAGUUGUCAAUGUUUAUGGUUCUUGGACUUGAUUUGUUUGGAUUAUUGCGUUGACCAUAAAAUUAGGCCUGGGAAUGGGCCAAUGUUGGGCCUAUAUUAGAGAUUAUUAAAUUUAUUUUCAAAAUAUUAUUAUGACGUGUGCAGUUUAAUUAGAGAACACUUAAAACUUUACCUUUCAUCAAUGAUUGAGAAAUUGCGGGGAUUAAUUUAGUGGUAGAAAGGAAAGUUCCAAGAACGAAAUGCUUAAUCAUGUAACUAGAAAACGAGAAGAAAAAGGGUAGAAGAUGCGUCAAAAUUUAAAAAAUUGGGUCGGUGGUUAUCAGUACCUUCUCAUUCACUCAUUACUCUUCCUUAAUAAAUUAAUAAUUUAUUUAUUUAUUUUUUUUUUUGUAGAAUCAGGCGCUAUAAUUCUCCUUUGUAUUCUAGACUCUUUACAUUACAGUCUAAGAGAUGUUUAUCCUUCGGUUUGUUUUAAAAUUUUUUGCUGUCUGUUAGUAUUUAUCUAGUUUUGACCAAAAAUUUUUUGUUUGGCCCAAUUUGAUUAUGAAGACAAAAACUUAUAGGCAUUUAAGGAUAUGCAUGGCACUAUGGGGAAGUUUGCUUGCCCCAUCCGGAACAAAUUGCGAAUUGCAAUUGGUUUAUCUCUUGGGAGUAUUACCAGUCAUCAGUCAUGUCUCAAUUAUAUCACAUAAAUUAAAUAUUUAGCCCAUGGUUUUUUUCUAUUUGACACUUGUAAUUUUCAGCUUUAAUCUAUAUAAAAAUUUAACUAAGUCUAUGUAUACAACGGGGGAGUAUUAUAAAUGUACAGUAAUUAAGUCGAUUUCGAUUGACUUUACAACUAUCAAUUUUCAACGGUUAGCUACCUUCCACCAAUCAUUCUUGUGCAAUAAUAUCAUGUGCUAGUGCCAUGUCCAUGCCUUUUAUAAUUUCAAUGAAAAGAUCAUGAUCAUGUUCAUUUUCAUGUGCAUGCAAAAGUAUAAUUUUUAUGCAUAACAUGGCUGUCUAAAAUUCCGUCUUCCUACCAAACCUAUACUAUACGAAUACAAUUCCCCUAUAGUACAUUAGUUAUUCUACUUCUUUUCACUUUCAACCAUAUAAUUAAUUCAAUAAUAAGGUCACUUUCAUAUCAUUGUAUUAUAAUAUUAUGUGCUUAGUCAUGGAACACUCUUUAAAAUUGUAUUUAUAUUAAAUAAUUUAUUCAUCUAUAACAAUUAUAAAUAUUUUUCUGUUUCGACAAAUUUAAAGAAUAUAUCUUUGUUUGUGGUCUUCAAAAUAUUAAACCUUAAUAAAUACUAUAUGAUUGAGGAAAUGAAAUCAUACGCGUGUAACUCUAACGGAUAAUUAAAUUAAUGGUUUUUGAUUAAUAUGGGUAGGGAGCCAAAUUUGGACCGUCCACAUGCAACCUUAUGAAAGAAGCCAUCACACCCUGGCGUACGAUGAAAUUAAGUCAUAUUGUAAGAACUUUCUCACACUGCAUAUUCUUCCUUUCCCAAAAAUUAUAUAUAAAUAAAAUAAGAAUAAUCAUCCAUUUAAGCCCAUCACAGUCUUUCUAACAUGAACCUAAUAACGUAACAUACAAUCGCUUUGCUCAUACCCUUCCCUUUCAAGAACGCUCCACCAAACUAUAUUAUAUUUCAAUUCAAAUCUUUGAUCUCUGCUGCAAGUUAAUUCUCUAGUUUCAAGAAUUUUAAAGAUGAGAUCGUUAGCUUCUUUUAUGUUGCUAAAUGUUUUUCUUUUGAUUUAUAUUGUUUCGCCAAUUCAAGGCGGCUCGGAUUCAAGAAAGCUUGAUGAAACCACUGUGCCUGGUGCUGGUGGACCAACGGAUGAGAAGUGUGCCCCAUGUACUUCAGAUCCUCCUCCACCACCAUCACCACCACCACCAUGUCCUCCUCCGCCGGCGUUGCCACCACCGCCUCCUAAGAAACCGCCAUCAAGUAACAACUGCCCUCCGCCUCCAUCUAAUUUUAUAUACAUCACUGGUCCACCGGGGAACUUGUACCCUGUUGUCAAUGAUUUUAGCCGCGGUGGACGAGCUACGCCGACGCCGGCAGUUUCGAUCGGAUUUGGGUUUCUAGUAUUUUUGUUAAGAUUUGGGCUUUAAGGUUGUGACGAACAACUGCAACAGAUAUCAAGAUUCUAAAUACAGGAGAAUUUUUGUGUCCAAAGGUGAAGCUUUUCAAUUAGGAUCUAAUUGUUAAUUUGGUACUUUGGUUCAUCUCUCAUUUGUCCAAUAAAUUUAUAGUCCUUUCUUUCUUUCCCUAUUACUACCUCAUAGUAUUUUCUGUUCAUAAUCAAUCUGAUAUUAUUAUAUAUGUAAUAAGCUCAUAUUCUCUGUUCUUCUCUGUUUUAUGUUUGUAUUCUUUCCCAUCUCCUCUAUUUGCUAUUCUGUUACCAAUUUUGGUUUGAGGAAAAUUAAAUGUUCAUAAAACCCAAAAAUAAACAAAUCGAGUUUGGCAUCCGGAUUAUGAAAUUGCAAGUUCAAAUUUAAUUAAAAAAUUGUAAUCAUAAAUAAUUAAAUUAGGACAAAGGAAACAUUCAAAAAUGGUGUGUUUGUAUAUAUUUAUUGUGUUGAUUUAUGGUUGCAUUUCCAUUUCCUUAUUGAUUAAAAAUUUCAUCACUAUAUGAGUUAGUGAUAUCCUAUGCAUAGGCAAGCUUAUACAGUUCGCAUUUUUAGAAUAAUGGGUUAAUUAAAUUUUUAUUGGAGGCCUUGUCUUGAUGUGUUAAAUUAAUUUGUCUAUUUGUCUAUGAUUAAUAGCCAUCAACGGUGAACCUUUCAUUUCUAUAUCAAGAUAAUGAUUUUAAUAUUAUUAUUAUUAUUAUUUUUUUUUUUUGAUGUGAAACUGCAUGUUCUAAUUAAGAACAUUAGAUAAACACUACAAUAUAGCCAACGCAACCAACAACAAAAGAAAAAAUAAAAACUGGAAAUUACCCAUGAACAGGGGAAAAUAAAAAAAUAUAUAUAUUUUUUUAUUUUAAACCUAAAAAAGUAUGGAUUUAUGUGACACGUGUCGAAUGUAAGAGCUUUUUAAGCACCCGAAGAAUCCUCAAGUAGAAGUGAAACAGAAUAAAGGAGAGAAAGUAGUUGUUCUAUUAUCCGGAAGUGUCAGAAUCGUACAUUUUCUAGAGAUCAACUUGGGUUUCACCAAAUUGUAGGACCCAUGAUGAUUUAUCACUAUGGGGUUCAGUUCAUGUGCUUCAUGAGUCAUCAAAGAAAUUUUGGCAGCUUGUAGUGCUUAAAUUCCACUAAGCAUCUCUUAAUCCCAUCAAUUAUUGCAGUGUUAGAGUUAAUCGCUCUGCUAAUUACAGUGACUCUUGGUUGCGUGCGAAAGAUUAAAUUUCAGAAAGGGCCAAUUGGGGCUGUUUGAUGCGUGGUCAAUUUACAAAGCCAAUGUUGCCCCCUUUAGCUUAGGCAACUAGGCUUUCAUUGAAGCAUCAUUUCUCUAAAAUUGCUUUCUUUCACAAUCUUUCAAUGGUAUUUAUGGCAACUACUUUAUCAUGCAUUAUUAAUGAUGGGGAAAAACAUGUGUUUAGCUAUUGAAUUUAUUUGAAUUUUAUCCAUUGAGUCUUUACAUUUUUAUUUACUCUUCAAUUUUUAUUUUUAUUGAAAUUAAAUUUUUAUUUAAUUAAUGGUUGGGAGAGUAUAAUGACGUAUUUCAAUCCGGUGAUGGAAGUAACAGAAAAUAUAACAGCAAAAGCUAAGUUUUAAACUUUUAGUUUUAUCAAAAGAAGUCUCUAAACUUAUGUUUUGUUAAAAUUAAAUGUUCGUUUUAUUUAAAUUUACUAUUUACUCUCUGUUAAUUUAGGGGUUAAUUUUUUUACCUGAGUCAAAGUUACAAACGAUAAAUAAAAAGUUAAGAUCUUGAUGGAUAAAACUUAAUAAGUUUAACGCUUAAAUAUGUAAUUUUCUUAAUAAUUGAUAUUGUUCAGCGAAUUUAAUUUAGAAGCAGUUUUCUUUAUGUGUGAAUAAAAAUGCAAUUUUGAAAAAACUAAAUGAAUUUCCUAUUGACUUGCUUAAACAAUAUCAAUCCAAUAAAGACUUGGGAUGACCUAAUUUUGUCUGUAGAUUGAAGCACUAAGGAGGAAACUUCAUUAUCAUUACAACAACUUGUUUUGCCGUUCACACUGAAAGGGUAAUGACCCUUUUGUCACUGAAAUUAAUAAAAUGUUAAAGUUAGUUAGUACUUUCCACAGCAUUAACUAUAUAUUACCGUUCUGUAGAUAAGAUUGAAAAAUCGCCAUUUCGACCGAAAAGAAAACUGCUGAGUAAUUGAAAUUAAAUUUUCAUAUAGCAAAAUAAAUUUAUAUUUGAUGAAAGUAAGAAAUUUUAAUUGUUUUUUAGUGUCAAUUUGACAAAUAUAAUAAGUGAAAUAAAGGGUAAGUAACCGAUCUAUGCAUCUUUCUCCUGGAAAUUUAUGAUAUAUGAAAAUAAAAGAUAAAAUUGAUAAGACCCGAUUUCAAAUUUCACCAACAAUAAUAUUUUUUUUUUUUUUUUUCAAAAUAAUGAAAAUGUCAAUUGGAAAGCCAGUCAAUAUGUAGAAAAUAAGAUAAAGAAAAAGGCAGUAAAGACCUUGACAAUAACAGCCUGUGCUGUUGGACUAAAAGGCAAUACAAUAACAAAGGAUAUCCAAAAAUAAUUCAAUUAUGAGGAAUAUUGUGUUAAAGGUUAGCUAAAGUUCAAAAAUCCUGAAUUGAAAAAGAUUUAGCCUUGGAAAAAUCCUGAUAUUAUUCACCUCUUUUCUUCAUAGAUGAUCUUUUUGAAACAAAGAAAAAGAGACUAAAAAAAUUUGUUAGUCUAUCUCUAUCACUUGCAAAUGUAAGUAAAGCAAAAAAGAUAACUAUAUUAUCUAUUAUCAUCGUACAAAUAGUCCACUUUAUAUUAUUUAUUUGUUUUUAAAAAAAGAUACGUUAUUUAUAUAUUCACCAUUCUAUUCUUCUAAAAUUACUAAAUGGUCCAAAUUUUUUGUAGGCAAAUCCCUAAAACAAAAGCUCCAAAAUAGCAUAAUUCUUUAACUAAAUAAUUCAAUUUUUUGUAAACUAAAUUAAGGUUCAUGAACCAUUGCAGAUAUAUAAAACAGUUUAAUUCUUGAAUGGAAAGUGGAAUCGUUGUUAGUUACAACAACUACUACAAGUCAAAAAAAAGUCCUUGUCGAAAAAAACUACAACUCUCUUUCAAUCCACCGACACUCUGAAACUCAGAAAAAGACUCCACCAAACCAUUCAUAUCAUCACCAGCUCAUGCCAACUUAAGCAAAAAGACCACUUCAUAUUUGAAUUUUUAAUUUCUUUUAUUGCAAAUGAAAUAUUCAACAUUGCAAAGUUUUUUUUUUUUUUUUUUUUGAAACUCAAGAAGGAAAAAAAAAAAACUAUGGACAUGAUAUUUGAUAUUAUAAAAUAUCAAAUUAUUUUUGGGAUCGGAAGAACUCGAAUUCGACGAAUCAAAAUUAAAUUUAAAUUAAUAAAUUUAGUGAGUGAGGAUUUAAGCAUAGACGUCAAAUUCACUCAAAUUUGUCACUUUUGUAGUGAUGCUUUUAACAUUUUUGUUGCGUAAGGAAUCGGUUUGUUUUGAGGAUUGAAAAGUCAGCAAAAAUAAUAAGCCAGCAAAUUGGACGCUUAACUUAGUAUCUUUUUCCACAUGUCUCUUCCAAUUAUUGGCCUCCACGUCAUAUAUCCUUUAAUUACAAGAAGAUGCACAGUUUAAUAAUUAAUAAUUGAGAUGAGUAAAAUUAAAUUCAGCCCUAAAAUGUAUAAAAGGGGUAAAAAAAGGUACCAACUUUCUUGAUUUUGUGGAACAUGGCUUCUCAUCACAAAGCUUGUAAGUAGAGAACUAAUAGAGAUCAUCAACUGGUAUUAAAUUUUUUAUUGUAAGGCUGAACUCUCUCCUCCUCAAAAUAAAUAAAAGAAGCACAAGAAGAUAUGUAGAUGUAGCUCAGUUUGUAGAGCUUGGCUCUUGCAAUUGGGCCUUUGUGAUUAUGGGUUGGAUGUCUAAUUAUUUAGGAAAUAAUGAUAGUAUCUUGUACUUGAAUUGAAUCGAUGUCUCACUUUUUUUAAAAACUGAACAUGAAAUAUUGGUUUCAUUCGGCUCCUUUAUGGAAUUUGGAAAAUUUUCAGCUAUCCAACUAUAAGUGGCGAGCAAAAAAAAAAAAAAUUGACAAGAUAAUUAGUUAUUUUUAAAAUAUCAUCUUAAUUCAUCCUAUUUCAUUAUAUCCGGGAUAUGAUAUGGUUCUGAAGGAUGAACUGAAUAUGGACAUUUCCAAUAAGAUUUUUGAUGCAUUGGCAUUUUCCAUUUUUUCAUUCUAGUUAUCAACGCGCAAAAGGAGUGAAGAAACAAAGAUUCGAAAUAUAAUUAAAUAUCUGUAACUACUAACCCCUCUUCUUUUUUUUUUUUAUUGAAUUGGAAUAAGUUCCCCACACCGUGGUUAGUAGCUACGUGCUCUAAUUCUCUGAGGCACAGGCCCCAUCCCAUCUGCCCUGGAUCUGUUAUUCAUAUGCACUCAAAAGGAGAGAAUUAAUUGAGUUGUUCAAGAUUCAAGGUGCUAUUGAAUGUUCAAAAGCAUGAUUUGUCAAGAUCCAAAGCAACUACACAAAUUUCAAUUAUAGCAGGAACUAUUUCAUAUCUAUCGAUCUAUUCCUCCCUCACUUGUUAAAUUUGACAGUUUUCUAAUUUGUAUAAAAUUAAAGAAAAUGAUUUCAUCGAGCAUUAAACUUUAAUUAAUGGUACUAGUCAAAUAAUUUCUUCAAUAUUGUGGGAUUAUAAAUUUAAAUUCCAAUCGAGAUUAUAUAUAUAAUCAACGAUAGACAUUUUUUUGUCGCUCAUUAUAUACAAAGAAAUCCAAAAACAAUAAUAAAAAAAUUAAUAUUUCUAAAUUUGUUUCAUCGAGAUUCAUAUUUGUUCCUAGAAGUAACUAAUGGGAAAAGAAAGGAGACCAAAACCAUGCAUAUGCCUACCUACUAACACCUUAAACUGAGACAUCAUCACUAAGUUAAAAUCAAUACGCCAUAACUAUAAUUAUUAAAAGUUUGUCCCUUAAUCACGUCUUAAUUUGUCUUUUUAUAAUCAUUAAUCAUUAAUCUUUUGAAUUGAGAGUACACGUCUUCUGUCUGUAAUUGGAUCAAAUUAUGUUCAAAAACUAUAUAUGUCAUCAGUAAGCUAGUUAAUUAAGUGAAAGCAAAUUAAGUUAAAUUGAUUAAUAUAACUAAUCCUAAGUUAUUUUAAUGAUCACAUGGAUUAUGAAAAAUAAGUACAACCUUCCAAACUUGAUGAUCCAAAGUGGAUUCUAGUUGGAGAGCAAUUAGUACUAUUGUUUUCAAAUCAAUCUUAAUUUUCUAUUCUUAAUUUCACAUCUCAUGAACUUUUCUCCUCGUAAUCAAAUCGAUCCAAGAAAAAAAAAAAACAGAGAAUUGAUUGUUACUCAGUUGUUUCUGAUGUCCAAUACUUUUUUUUUUCUUAGUCAUACUGAGAUUUCUCUAGUUUUGUAAACUACAAUUUAUUCACAUUAAGAUUAAAAAGUUUAUAAUAAGAAUUCCAUUUUAAUUAAAAAAUUUUUCCUUUAAGGGAAUAAAAUAGGUUUCUAGGAAAGUAAUUUAUAAAUAUCGAAUUAUCAUAUUCUGAUAGCAAUAAUAUACACAAAUAUAUAUAUAUAUAUAUAUAUAUAUAUAUAUAUAUAUAUAUAUAUAUGUAAAGGAGAGAAANNNNNNNNNNNNNNNNNNNNNNNNNNNNNNNNNNNNNNNNNNNNNNNNNNNNNNNNNNNNNNNNNNNNNNNNNNNNNNNNNNNNNNNNNNNNNNNNNNNNNNNNNNNNNNNNAUAUAUAUAUAUAUAUAUAUAUAUAUAUAUAUAUAUAUAUAUAGCUAGGAUUUUAUAGCCAUAACUUCAAUUUCAAUCCUUUAUUCCAUUUUAGGUCUAUAAAUCUUUUUCUUUUUUGUGGGUCAUGACACCCUCUAAUUAAACACUCAUAAUAGCUAAGUGAUAAACAUUCAUUAACAUCACCCACCCGCUCUCUCUCUCCCUUUCUUUUCUUCUUCUUCCUCUCCCUUUCUUUCUCUCAAAUUGCAGAAAUGUCUACUAAUAACUUCGCCCUAAUUCUUCCCAACUUCUUCUUCUUCACCUCUAUACUUCUCCUCCAUCUUCCAACCAUGACCAUGUCCGAUGACACUUGCCCAUAUCCCUGUUAUCCUCCGCCCACCGGAACAGGAACUGCCACCGGCACAACCCAGCCAUCUCCAUCGUCACAGUCAGGGUCAUACCCACCACCGGCCGGAAACUACCCUUCACCGACUGGCAAUAAUAAUAACAACAAUUUCCCAUAUAAUAAUUACUACCCUCCACCGUCUUUUGGUAACAACUACUUUGGUCAACCUCCUCCUGACCCUAUCUUGCCUUAUUUUCCAUUUUACUACAGAAAGCCUCCUCACAAAACUGAUGUUUCUCCGGCCGCCGUUGCUACAAGGUCGACUUUCUUGAUUGCCAUGGCUCAUGUAUUCUUGCUUUCUCUUUUGUUUUCGGUUUUUCUUUAAUUAUAAUGUAAGUGAAAAUUUUGGUGCAAUUUUAGUCUUUUAGAGGGCUUUUAAUUGAAUAUUUACAUGUAUUAUAUUCUUGUUAUGACAAAGUUUGUAGCUUAAUAUAUUUGAUCUGUUGCAGUUGAGGAAAAAGUUUAGGAAGUGCAAGACAACUUUUCUUUUUCUUGCGAUAAUCUUUCUUUUUCGUUAAUUAAUUUCCAUUUAAAUUAAGGAAAAUAUAUAUAAUUCUUUAAUUAUGAUGUGAAGGAAGUGUUAUUACACUAAUUAUUAUUCGAUUUAAUAAUUGAGUGUUUGUGACUUUUAAUAAAUUAAAAUUUUGCAUUAAAGACAUGUUGGUGAUGAAGAGAAGGACACAACACACAAGAAGCUGCAUAAGGGACCCAAUAACCCAACCUUUAGUUUCUUCUUUUUCAUUUAUUUUUUGUUGUUAUUAGGGAUUGUUUUUAAUUUUUUCCCUUUUUUUUUGUUAUUUAUUUAAUUUAAAAGUUUUUUUUUUGGGUCUCAAUGUUUAUUAGGGCAUUGUGACCACUUAGCAGUACAUCACCUAUUUUGGAAGAGAUCCUUGUGGAACAUGGUAUUGUAGGGAUAUUAAAC